rnacentral:lncRNA from 1 species
UUUACUUUUUACCAACCUAGCUUAUGCUCAGCUGAAGCAUAUCCAUGGUGCACAAUCUUAUGCAGCAAGAGAUUGCAUUAUAUAUUAUUAAAUAUGCAGCAAGAAAUCUUAUGCAGGAACCUUUGUUGUCAAAUAUGGAGAUUCCUUUAUCCUACACAAUUAUAUAUAUCAGUCUCAAAUUUGACCGCAUGAAAUACAAAUCAAUUGAGAGGAUCAUGGCAGAAUUUUUUUUAUACAUUAUGAACCUCAAUAUGUAACAAAGUUAUGCAUCCAUUACCUUCCUAAAAGAUGUAGAGUCUUGCUGCCUCAAAGAUCUUGCACAUAUGGCUCGAAGGUCAGAAGUCCAUCCCAAUAAGCCUUUCCAGUCAUUGUAUAUACACUUUAUAACAGUCGAUACACAAUAAAUAAAUAAUUUAGUCUUCUAAUUCACAACUAAGUUGCAUGAUAUUUAAGCUGGAUCUAAAAGUUUUCUACAACAAUCAAAAAGAUAUUACUCCUCUUAGACAUAAAAGCAAUAAAUUCUAAAGCCAAAUGGGUAGCUAAAAUAUCACUGGAAAAAAAUUAAUUACUUAAAUUUCUACAAUGCUAGUCACCUGCCCAUUUUCUUCAAGACCAUCAUAAUUACUCAAGAACAAGAGCAGGCAUAUCAAUACUCAAUAAUCAAUAAGUAAUAACACCUUAUGGCCAAAACAUCAAAAUAUACGCCUGUCCAUAAAAUGAAAGGGGUAUAUUUUGAUGGUUUGCUCCACUAAAGUGAGGCAAAUGUACUUUAGAAGAUGAAGUGCACUCAUAACUACUUACUAUUAUCAUGGUUAAAUUUUAACAAAUUUGAAGUUUUUUUUUUAUUAUAACUAUUAUGAAGCACAAACACCUCUUGCUCAAAGUAUUGUUGUGUCGGACACGUUUCCGAUACCAACACACCCGAACACUUGUCGUCGGACACUUCUAAUUAGGUGUUUAAUUUAAAAUUAUUAUUUUUUGUUUAAACACUUAAAGCCGUAACCUUUACACAAUUAAUACACUUGAAAAAAAUAUAGAAAGUUGGUUUAAAAAGAUGAAUAUACCAUCAAUUUAGAUAUUUUGUUAUAUAUUAGGUGCUUCAUAAUACGUAUGCAUAUAUUGUAUCACAAUUUCAACCAUGAAUUUAUUCUCUCCUUGUUUUUUUGCUAACAACCGUGAAUUUAUUCUCUAAAGUUAACAAAAAAAUUAGACAUAUAAUGGUUAAAUUCAACAAUUAACAAAAAAAAUAGACAUGUUACCGUUUGAGUUCUUUGAAGAAUGACACCUUUAUCGCCGGACUCGCGAGAAACCAAUACGCCGGGUUUCAAAGUUUUCCAGGUGCCGUCGACGGCGGACUUGGCGUCGACAGUGCCACGGAUAAUUACGAUUUCGCCGGCGUCGGCAUCGGAGGGUGGCUCGGCGAGGAGGGAGCGGAGGUCGGAGACGGAGAUGGAGGGUGCGCGGCGGAGCUUGCGGAGGGAGGCGGAGGUGGCGGUGAAUUUGAAGAGGGUGCGGACGGCGGCGAAGGCCAAGGCAACGCCCAAAACGGCACCGUCGAAGGAAAGGGCGAGCUUGGAGAGAAGGGACAACACGGCUUGCUCCUGAUGAGACAUUAGAUUGAUCAAUGAUUCAUUCAAACACUGAUCACUGUUUCCGUUUCCACAAUAUUAUUAUCGACGAAAUCCACCACGUCUUCUAGAACAACCUAUGUUUCAGCAACUCCUCUUAAUUGAUGAUAAAAAAAAAUUCCUCUUAAUUAAACAUUUUUAAAAUAUAUAUUUAUAAUUAACUAAAAAUUAUUUUUCUUAAUUAUAUCAAAAAAAUAUUUUUGUUUACAUAAGGCUUCAGUUUGAAAAUAAUUUAUAUUAUUAUUUGAAUUAUUUACUCUGGGGCAAAAAUAUGUUUUUAUGUCUAAUAAAUAUUUGAAUAUAAUAUUUACUUUCUAAUAAAUAACAAAUUUACAUUGAUUCCCUAAAUAUAAUAAUAUUUUUGUUUUCGAUCCAUGACAUUUCUUUUAAUUUUCGAUGUUUGUUUUUCGAUAAUUGAAAAGUACUAUAACAAAUGAAAAAAAAAUUGACAUAUUUUAGCAUUUACUCUUAUAUUAGGAAAUGUAAUUAUAAUAAGUUUUAAUUAAAGAUUUUAGGAAUGAUUAGUACCGACCUAAGAGACAGAAACAUGUAGAAUGAGUGGGUAAUUAAGCAAAUUUACUUGAGUAUCUUAAAUUGAAUUAAUUUUAAAAUAAAAAGAUGUUUUUUUUGUCCAAUUAAAAAGAUGCAUGUUGCUAUUGUAUUUCUUCAUAAAAAUGAGGGAAAGUAUUAUUGCAAACCCCUAAUUUAUAGAAUGAAAUAUAUAUUAGAAUCUUUGAUUAUAAUGCAGUUUAUAUAUUUAAAUAUUUAUUUGUUAUAAAUUCUAAUUAUAAAAAAAAACCAAAAACCAAAUCGAUUCUUUUUGGAUUUAUUUGAAUUUUUUUUUUCAAAUCAAUAGGUUUGGUUCUGUUGUUUCUAAAAUUAAACUAAAUUGAAUCAAACGCAACACAAGUGAUAUUAUGUGUAUGAAAGUUAUACAAUAUAUAUCAUUUUCUUUUUUAGACAAUUUUUUUAAGAUAUGUUUGAUUUAAAAUAAAUAAAAAAAUUGACAGAUUUUAAUUAUAGAAUGAUUGACAUAUUAAUAAGUUUCAAGUUUCAUACAUUCUUAUUAAUAAUUUUUUAAAGUAAUUUAAUUUAAAAAAUAAAAAAAAUUAUAUAAAUUUUAAUAAAAUAAUAUUUUAGUAAAAAUUGUAAAAUAUAUUUUAUAAAAUUUGAUUCGGGUGACAUUUUAAUGAAUAAUCCAACCAAAUCGAGCCACAAAUAUUCCUAAUAAUUUCCAUGAUUAAAAAGACCCAAAAACAAAAGGAGGUCUCCCGAAAAUUUUGCUCCCGUUUUUCUGAGCCGUGACUAGCAUGCUUUCUUUAUCUCUUUUUGAUUAAGCUUGAUCUAAUGAUAAAUAAUAAACGAAUGUUCCUCUUUCUGACAACAUUGUAAAAAAGUAACGCAAAUUAUUGCUGUUAAUGUGUUGCAGGACACUUUGAUUACAGCUACUCCCCAUUCUCCAAGCUGGAAAUCACUGCUUUCUCCAACCUAAAAAUCACUGCUACAUCUAUAGUUCCUUCCUCAACACAAAACAAACAAUAUAUUUUUUGGUACUAAUGAUAUUAGUAUGAAAUAUGAUUAAUUAUUAUCAAAUUAAUCUCCUAAAAAACUUAAUUAAUCACUUUUAUAGAAUCUUUUCAUCUAAUUAUGUAAGACUUGAAUUCAAAAUUUUAUAUGAAAAAACCAAAUUUUAUACCAGAGUUGAAGACGUGUUGGUAACAAAACAAAUUGUAGGAAUACACAAAAAGAGCAAGGAAAUAUACCUUGCUUCCAUACCCCUGAAUCUCCUUUCUCUACCAUCCUUUUCCGACCAAUAUUCUUUAAUCAUCCAAUCUCAAUAGAUUCAUUAGCCCGUUAUAAAUUCUAGCCUCUUAAGUUAAAAUUUUGAUCAUACACAACACAAAAACAAACUCUUAAUUAAUAAUAGCUUGACCUCCACAAAAAUUACCAGCACCACCACCACCUAUGCUUAUGGUUCCUCCUCCUCUUCUCAAAGAUCACUGGGCAUGCCAAUUCAAAGAGUGAUAGAAUUGGAAGCUCUGGUGGGUUUGUUCUGCCUAUAAGAACAACCUCUUCAUCAUCAUCAUCACCAAGAACUUCUUCAUUUGUACCAUUUCCUGAGCCUUCGAGGGUGCUCAGAAUUGGAAGCUCUUCUCGUUAUGCUUAUGCUUGUUCUUUAUUCGCAGGCCUCGGUUCAAAAAUUCUUUUGGAGAUAGAGAAAGGGAUCAUCAUGACUAUAUAUGUCCUUUUUUUUUGUCUCUAUGUUAAUGUUGCAUUUAUAUAUGGUAUUAUAUUCAUUAACGUAAUAAUAUGAUGACAAGAAGCUGAGAGUUAUAUCCGUAGCAUCAGUUUUAUUUUAAGUUCUGAUUUGGACAUUUUUUAUUAGCAAAGAUUUUUGGACACCAAAAAUGUAUUUGACACUGAGAAUGAGAGAGAUAAAAGAGGGGGUGAGGGAGUAUAUGAUAAAUAAUGUAAAGUAAUAGGAAGAAUGUGGUAGAGAAAAAUAAAGAGUUUAAAAAACUGAAAUGUUUAAAUAAAAAUUACUCUUUAAAAACUUAAAUGAACUCAUCACAAAAUCAUAUGCAAUUGAAUCUGGAAGCUUUCAGAUUGCAGUUUUGGGGCUCUCACGAGUCACGAUCUCGAACAACUUGAGGAAUUGUAUUAUGUAAUACAGUAUGUACUAUGUAGUACCAGCCAGUGUCCAGUAUUAAUUAUUUAGUAUUAUUUAUUCUUAACAAUGAAAUCAGCAGGCCCAACCAAGGCCCUAAUCGUAGAAUUGGAAUAAUCUGGGCCAACUCUACCAAACGGAUUUUUCAUUGUUGGGUCUGUGAAGUGCUUUGCUACAAUUUAAUCAUUUAAAUUAAAUGGUUUAACGCAUCAAAAUCGGGUAUAAAUGAGUUUAGAUUUAACUUGUACAAAAUAAAACUUUACUCAUUUAUUUAAACAAGCCUAAUUGAAAGUUUGAAUUUGACAUGUUACGUAAAAAUAAAGCUUAAAAACUUAACUUAUUUUUCUCAUAUGUAACUUAAUUAUUCUUGUUUUUAUGACAUUUUAUCAAUUUAAUAUUCAAUAAACGUUUUAAUAUUAGAAAAUAAUCUAUAAAUAGAAAUAUAUGCUCAACAUGAUGUAUGCGAAAUUUAAAAAUUCUAUAUUAUUAACUUUUCAUAGUACAGUAAAAAUUCAUAACUUCUUGACUAUUACAAAAGAUAAAUCUCAAAAUUAAUUUUUAACGUACUCAACAAAUUUUUACAUGUUUUCAUGAUGAAUACAUAAAUAACUAGUAAAACCCAAAUCAUGAAUUUAAAUAAAAGGGUUUAAUCAAAAGCAAUUAAUAUUGUGUUUAUAAAGCUUAGGUUUGAUUAAUUUAAAUAAUCAGGCCCAAUAUUUUGAAUUUAUCUAUUUAACUAAACAAAUAAACUUGAUAAACAUUUAACGAGUCAAUCUCAUAAAAAAUUAUGAAUAACUCAGUUCAUUUACAUCCAUACAUCAAAUACUACUCGUUUUUCCUACAUUAAUUGGAAUUAAACUUAGAUUUAAAAAAAAAAGUGAUGUUGGCAAUGUUAAUUGCCAAGGAGGAGUGGACCAAAAAACAUCCCAAGGACGCAAAGAUUGUGAAGUCACAUUUGAAAUAUAAAGGCGUGGAUGAUAAUGAACCUCGAGUUAGAUUAUUCCGUUUUCUAGAGCUUUGGUAUAGCUACGUCAUUGAUGUGCUAAAAAUAAAUAUUCACAAGUGCAUUAAGACUUAAGAGCAUUAGGAUGGCAACUCUACAGUUAACUGAUUAUAUUAAUUAAGGUUACUUUCAAUGCACAGUUAAGUGAAGCUUCUUCCAAUCACUCCCCAAAGAAUUGUACUCCUAUUUAGCAUCAUUUAUUAAUAAUAAUGUUCUGGUUUGAAAUAUUUAAUUUCAUUUCAUGCCAGAAUAAGAAUGUUCUGAUACGACAUGUAUUUUCUGUCCAAAAAAAAAUAUGGCAUUUAUUCCUUGAUCAUUUAAUAUGAAUUUGAAAUUUUAGUCAUUUAUAUAUCUUUUAUAGUUAAUUUAUUGUAACUGACAAAGUUUUAUCAUAAUUUUUCCUGUUUGACAUUUGUAUGUUGAUUUAAAGUGUAGAUUUGUUGUUGGAAGUAUUUUUUUCAAAUAAAAUGUCAAAACACUUACGUCAGUUGGCACCCCCUCUCUAUAAAGAACCGCGUGUACUGUUGAUUAAGUUAAAUGUUGAAACAAGUUGCUAAAGUAUGCAAGUGCUAAGCUUUUAUGAGAGGUUGACUUGUUUAUUUAAACUAUAACUUGUGUGCAAGUACAUCCCAGCAAGUAAGCAACACACUUCAAUUUGCUAAACCGAUCAAUAAAAAUGAUUCAAUUUGGUUUUGGUUGAUUUAAAAAAAUAAAUAAAUAAAUAAACAAACAAACCAUGCACAACUCUAUUGUUGUUCAAGAGUAUAGCGUGACCCAACUGAAAAAGAGACAACAGAGAAAUCAAAUUAUUUUCCUAUUUCACUUACUCAAUAGUAAUAUGGAGGAAUUAGGUUACAAAAAUAAAAAAAGAAAAUAAUCAGUCUUAAUUAAAAAGAUUAAUUUAAUAGUUUAAAUAUAAAAAAUAAUAUACAGUAACUAGUUACCUUGACCUUCUAUAGUUCUAUUGUAGGAAAAAUGACAUGGUGCACCGGUAGAGCAGGGAAUUCACAGGAUACUCUCCACUCUCCAGAGUAGCAACUUGAGGCUUUAAAUCCCUGAUAUUGCAAGUGAAGUCUAUCUGAUAGUUACAAUUUACUUCUACCUUAAUCAGUAAACCUUUAUGAUUGACAUACUAGUGACAAAAAUCUAUAAACUUGCUUAUGUUGUUUAGUUCGUGAUCUUUAGUGUACUUUGUAGAGUUCAUUAGGCUAUUAAUAAAUUUGCCUUUUAAAAUGGAAUCACUAAAAUAAAAUCUGACAAAAUAUAGCUCAAUUUUAAAAGCAUAACUUAUGAAAGAUUCAACUCAAUUCGUCUAAAGAAAUUAAACCUGAAUUGUGUACUAUUGCGAUUAAAGCUGGUCCAAUUUGAAUUCAAUACGAAAGAAAUUUCCAAAACUAAUUGAACUGUUGUACAUGUGCGUUUGGAACUUGUCUUAACAUUACAUUAAGCAAAAUUAACCGUUAGUGUAGCUGCCGCUCUCUAUACGCUAUCAACAACGUGUUUUCUUUUAUAAUUUGACUUCUUUCAUUAUGAAAGAGAGAAAGGAUGUACUACUGCUUACUACUAAUAACCUAAUAUUAGGUGAUUGAUGCCUUCGUUUGUCCCGUUAGCUAUUAUCAAGAGGAUUCAAGGAUUUUAUAAUGCAUAUUUGAUUUAAAGUUGAAAAUGUUGUGACAAACGUCUUAAUGUAAAUUCAAUUGAUAAAACAAAAUGAACAUAAAAGUAAAAAUCUUGAUCCGUUGAUAAAAUUAUUUUUGCAUCAAACAUAAUUUUACAACUGCAAACUAAACAUUCUCCUAAGUUGUAACACUUUUGGGAAAUUGGGUUUUGAACUAUAAAUUUUAGCUCUUCUAAAUGGAAAAUAAAAAAAAAUCCUAAUCAAUACCUAAAUCUGUAAGAAGGAAUGAAUAUUACAGAAGUUUAAAAAUCAAGUUGGAAUGCAUUGGAAUCAUGGUAAAGACGUAUUUAUACUCUAAUAAAUAAUGGUAAAAAAACAAAAUAAAAUUUCAAGACAAUCUAAUUCAUACAAUCCAAUUUUAUAAUCUUUCAUUCUCUUAUUCCCACUACUUUCCUCGAACCGAAAUAGCAGUGAUUAGUAUAACCCAAUAAAAUAUUUAUGCUAAAUUUAACUCCUCAAUUAGCAAUUUUAACACUGCACUUCCACAUUAUAAUAAAGUCAUUCUCCAUUUACAUGACUAGAAUAUGCUUAACAAACUUCAGAAAUACAGUAAAACUCACUCGUUUCAAAAAUCUCAACAGAUUUUAUUGCUCUUUGCUAACAAGUUCCUUGGAAACACAACUCUACCAUAAACCACAAAUAGAAUAAACACCUUAUGUUGAUAAUUCGUCCCUCUGGGAUCAUCUCACAUUAUAUUUAUAGAUAAAACUAUUUGACGAAGGCAAGACUAAAUAAAACCAGAACUCUAGAAUCAUAGUGGGUGGGAUGUAAUUAAUUUAUCAGGACCAUUGGAUCAACUACAUAAAAUCAAUCAUUCAGCACAUAAUUGAAUCAAGUUAGCCAAGUUCAAAGUAGUAACACAGUUGUUCUGUACAAAUAUUUUCUAUAUACAUAACUUGUCACUAAAUAAUUUCAUGUUGGAAUGCAAGUGAAAUCCAAAAGCACGGGUCAACUCCUUGAGCCAACCAUGGUGCUUGCAGCGGUUCCCAUGCUCGACACAGUUAGCCCACGAUCGUACAUACGCUGGAUUUCUUCCCUGUAUUCUGUAAGAGACUUGUCAGGUAUGGCUGGCGUAAGUUCAAUCACAUCUCCCAUCUUCAACUUGCUAUUGGGGUCACUAACAGGUUUGUGAUUCAGCCUUGGCCUCAACUCUUCCUUCAAUGGGAACCUAUAUGUUGUCAACCUAGAGCUUGCUCUCCCAGAUCUUUUCAACAAAUCCAAUACUGUUGAGUUUGCGCUAAAUUCUUGGACAGACAUCUGCACAUGCAUUCAAACACAAGCAGAAUUAAUACAAACGUUCAAAUGCGAUAAGAUGCUAAUGACAUUAAGCAACUUUGGUUGCACAAAAUGACGGUGCAUGCAUGCUCUAUUUUCCACAAUUUUAACACACUAUACCGUUGCACACCACAAUUAAAAAAUAAAAAAUCAAUUCCAAAGUAUGGUGAGAGUGAGAUAGUGACACUAGACAUGGUCAAGUUUUUUCCCACUUGGAGAGAAUCCAUUCCCCCCCCCAGAGCAUUUAAGAAACAGCCACUCUGUCCAGUUAGUUAAAUUAAAUUCCUUCACGAGUUUUAAGAUUCAGUAUGGGUUGAAGACUUGAAAACGUGAAACUCAAUAUUGCAUAAAUUACUAGCACAAACCUUAUCAUUCUCAAUCAUGAUAACAAACACAGGCCCAUUCUGACCACAAUCAGGCUUGUAAGAAUAUGGGCAAUCAUCAGCAUGGGAAGGGAACUUGCAUGGGGGAUUGACUGAAUCAGCAUAUCCAACAGAUGAACAAUCUCUACUCAUUGCUUCGCACUGCCAGGUGACAACCCAUCGAGCCCACUCAACCAUCUGAAGCACAAAUGAAGAAUGCUGACAAUCAUCUUCCUUGUAUCUCCAAUGAGCAGCAAAUCCAAAUUCUGCUUGUAAAUGCAUAUCUUUGGUCCGAAUUUGUACUUCAAGGGGAACCUUGCCUUCACCCAUCACAACAGUAUGCAGAGAUUGAUAUCUGUGAAUUAUGAAAACAAAAUCAGAUGAUAUAGAUAUGGCCACUUGAGAGUGUACACCACUACAACUGAGCCACAACAUACCCAUUGAACUUGGGACGACAUAUGUAAUCUUUCAGCUUUCCAGGCACCUCAGACCAUAAUCGAUGAACAACUGUCAAAGCUUUGUAACAGUCUUCUUCCUUGUCAACAAUCAAGCGCAGCCCAUAAAUGUCAUGGAUAUCAUCUAUGGUUAGUUUCUUCCUGCAUAGACACAUGAAUAAUUGAGAAAUUGAAGUGUACAAAUAGUACAGUUCGGCAUGUCAGGUAAAAAAACCCAAAUGGAAGAUAAGAAACAGAAGUUAAAAAAAAAAAAAAUAGCAACUAGAAGGAAUGGUAUAGCAUACUUUAACAUUUUGCAAUAAACGCUAUAUAAGCUCUUAUGCCGCCCAGAAAUGACAUUAUAAGAAAUGCCUUCAUCUUUAAGUGCUUCCUCUAAUCUCUCUAUUGCAGAAGUAAUCAUUGCAUCAUCAUACGAUUCCACAAGCUUGGAUGAAAGCUCCUCAUGGUGGCUUGGGUUGAGAUGCUUAAAACAUAAAUUUUCCAAUUGUUCCUUCCAAGUAGAAAUUCCCAAGCGAUUGGCCAAAGGUGCAAAAAUCUCCAAAGUCUCCUUAGCAAACCUCUGCCGCUUGGCCACUGGCAAUGCAUCUAGUGUCAUCAUAUUAUGCAACCGAUCUGCCAAUUUAAUGAGGACAGCUCUUGCAUCUGCCAUGCCAAGGAACAUAGUAUGCAACCGGUCUGCUUCAACUGACUUGCUAGCUGUAUUAUUUUCUCGAGCCAGCUUGCUUAAGUGACUCAAUUUAGAAACCUAAAAUGCCAUAUAACAAUUAGUUAGAAUAUUGGAAGGACCAAAGGGAAAAACUAUUCAAAAAAUCAGAAAUGCAUACGUGAAGACAUCAAUGGUUAUUAUAGUUAAGGAUUCCUAUAAAAAUGCAAAUCAAAUUUCAGCAACCAAAGCACAAGAGAUAAUAAAGCAUUAAAGCUGUUAUAGAAAGCUAAGUAAAUAUAAAUUACAGCACAAAUCUAUUGAAUUAGUAUUGUCAUUGCUUCCAUAUGUUAAUAACAAUAAACAUCAAGUUUGUAGAACCUCAAUACAGAAAAACUGUUCUCAAUUUAGAGACAAGACAACAACUUCCAAAAACCACUUAAUGAGGGAAAGGAAGAUGAAGAAAGAGCAAACAUAAGAUGAAUAGCCUACAGCUCCAAAAAGCAGAUUUUUACAAGAUCCUUUUCUUGCAUCUUACACUUUAACUUAGCAACCACAGGCUACUGUGGUUAUGCUUUAGCAAGAAAAGAAAAGAACUCUCCCUCCAAAUUAUAUCUAUGCAAAGGAUGAGCGUUAUUACUUAUUAAGUUAUUAUUAUGCUGUCACUUAUAAGACAACAUCCUAACUACAUCAACAAAACUGCUUUGUACAUUAUGACCUGAGACCAUUAUGGUGAGUUGAACCCAAGCAAGUCAACCAAAACUACUUUGUACAUCUAAACCCAUCCAAAACAUUCAACAACGCACACAUGAGCGCGCACACACACACACACAACUAUAUUUUCUCCAAGGUCAAUGCUCAUUAAAUUUUGAAAAAGUUCCAGCAGCCAAAUUACACUUGGCCAUAGCAUCUAACACUAGAUCUGAAGUGUAAAUUUCAGUUAAUAACUUCAAUAUUUGAAGACUCAUUCAAACGUUAAUCAUUAAAGUGAAAAUCGCAAGCAUCAAUUUCCAAUAUCUUUAACCACACACAUUCAUCAACCAACAACAGAAAAAGUUCCUCACCCCUUCAACCAAAUCAGCAACACCAGCGCCAAACAUCCCAACUAUAUAAUCAUAAGUCAGAAAAGCAUCAUCCAGAGAGUCAUGCAAGAGCCCCGCCGCCACAACAGUGGAAUUGGCACCAAUCAAAGCCAGCAACACGGCAGUCUCCAAACAAUGCUGCAAGUAAGGAUCCCCACUAGCCCGCAUCUGAAAAUAAAAAAAGAAAAAACCCACAUCAAGAUCACACCUUUGACCUUGCAAAUCCAAAGAAACACACACGAAAUAAGGUUAGUUUCAUAAUUCUAUCUACCUGCCCUCUGUGUGCUUUCUCGGCUUCACAAAAGGCCUUAAUGACAAACUCCUCACAGAAGAUCUUGUGCCUCAUUUGCGCCCCAAGAAGCAAUUUUUUAGCAUAGGGCUCAAAGUGAAACCCACCCUCCACGAAAUUAUCCUCCAAAUUGAAGGUCAACUCAUCAAUCAUAGCAGAAGAAUCACCAGCAUCUAAGUCAUAGUCCAAACAUGAAGACCCCAACGCAUUCCUCACAAACCCAUCAAACAAACCACUGGUCCCACCCCUGAAGCUUCUAAUACGGCUCGAAGAACCCGUGGAACUUCUACCACUACUACUACACGAAACAGGACCAUGAAACACCGACACGGGACUCUGAUCCCUCUUCCACGAAGAACCUGCGAAUUUGCUCGGAGAAUACGAGAAGGAACUGCUCAGUUCCUUCAUCUCGUCCUCCUCGCCGGAGAAGUUCGACGACAGCGGAGGCGCGUGCUUCACCGCCGGCGCAGGCGAAGAGAACAGGCAUGAGAGACCACCCAUCACCGGCUUCUGCGACGUCGACGGCGGCGCCGUCGACCCCGCCGGCGAAGAAGAUCGCGACCCCAAUUCGAAGUCGUAGCUAGCGUGGGCGUUGAUCUGGUGCGGCGUGGAACACACGCUGCUUGGUGGACUCGCGUACAAGGCUAUCGUAGAAACCGCCAUGAGAAAGAAAAAGAGGUCACGAAAUCACAAAUUAGGGUUUUCGAUUUUCGGAUUUUUCAAUCCCAGACUCGAACGAAACGGAAUAAUAAAUGGUGAAGUCACGGUUUUUCUAAUACCCUUUUGGAAAUCUAAGAGAAACAGAAUUAGAAUUUUUUUUAGGGGGGCACCCAAAUUGAGGAAAAGGGAAAACUCAACUCAAACAGAGGAAAAGUAUAUUUCCCUAUGUCUGUACAGAGAGAAUAAAAAAGAAUUGGAAAUGAAAAUUGAUUGAUUGAAGAAUUGAAGAAUUGGGGGAUUUAAUUUCUUUUUUUUUUUCUUUGUGUUGGAAAGGGUGCUGUAUAUUAUAUACAGAAAUUUUUUUUAUGAAGGGGGUUGAAGAAAAGAAGCCUAAACAGUAAGAAUUUACAAAAGGGGACCCUGGAAUUGAAUUUGAAGGUGAGAGAGUCAAAUACGCUUUGAAAAUGGAGGCAGGAGAGAGAAAGAGAAAAUAGGAAGGAGAGAGAGACGUUCGUUCUUCGGAGAUUUUCGUAGAGUUCGUCUUUCUGUGUUGUUUAUGUGAGGGGAAAUGGUUCAGCGACCAGGGAAGGGAGGAGGGUGAAAUGACGGUUUUGUCCUCGGAAGAUUAUGGGAAUGGCAAGGGGGUGUUUAAGAUAAGUUUUUGUUUAAUGUUGUCAGGGAUUUGGUUUUAGUUCGUUCAUUAACGUAAAUAACGUAAAGUAGAGAGAGACUGUUUGUUGCAAAAGAUAUUUUGUUUUUCUUUUUAUGCCCAAAUUGGCAUUGGUUGCGUUGCGGCCAACGUUGAAUCUAGACGGCUAUUGUGUUGAGAGAAACUCACGCCAUAAAUAGCGUGAAAAGUCUUUAUUUAUAUCGGAAUAAAAUAUCUUGAGAAAAUUUUUAAUAAUCUAAUAUUUAGUUCUUCAAAAUUAUGUGUUAUUACCAAUAUGUGAUAUACAUUAAAUAUAUGAUAAUAAAUUCGAUCAAUUUUAUAUGUAUAUGAAAAAAAUUCUUUUUUUCUAAUUAUAAGAUUAUUUUAGAAAUUUAUUUAUUUCUUUUUAUAAUUUUUUUUUUCUAAUUCAUAAAUACAUUAAUUAUUUUUUCUUAGAUAUCUUAUCACUACUUAAAUAUUCUUUAUUCAAAUAUUAAUGAGAAGCAACUAAGUUGAUAAAGAGAUAAAAAAAAAAGUAAUUUAAAAUGACAAUAUAAAUAUUUGACAAAUAUAAUACAAAAAUAUUAUAUUCAAUAAAGCAUUUAAACUAAUUUUUAACUUUUUUAUUAGCUUAAAAUCUUAUUUGAGUGUUUGAUAAAUAAUUUUAUUUUAGUAGUUUUUUAGACUAUGUUCGACAACAUAUUUUAGUUAGUUACAGACUUUUUUUACAAGUUGAAACAACUUAUUUGAUUGUUUACUAAACAAGUUUUUUUGAUAACUUUUAAUGCUUUAUAAGUAGCAUUUUUUUAAAACACUAGUUUCUAAUUUCUAACUUCUAGUUUUUAGUUUUUUUAUAUUUUCUUUCACCUUUAUUUUCAAUAUAUUUAUUCAUUUUUCUUGUUAUUUUUUUAAAUAAAAUAUGAUUUAAUUAUUUUUCUUUCAUUGUACACCUUUUAGGUACUUCAACUGUCAGUUUUAUGGAACACUUCUAAUUUAAAUAAGCUAAUUUUUUAGUUUUUUCACUUCCGGCUAUAUUAAGCAUAGCCUAAGUUAAGUUAUAUCCGGCAAGACUUUUCGGCUCGCUUCUAGCUAUUUUUCCUAACUAAAAACCUUGUUUAAUUAUUUGGUAAAGAAUCUUUUUUAGUAGUUGCUAUCAUUUUUUUUUUAAAUGCUACUUGGGCCAUGUUCAGCAAAGCGAGUUAAAAACUGAAAAACUAACUUAUUAAAUUAUAAUUAUUUGAUAAAACUAGUUGUUGAAAUAGUUGAAAAGUGUAAAAUAAUAAAAAAUAAAUAAAAAAUCGUGAUUUAUUUGGAAAAUAUAACAAGAAAGAUGAAUAAAUAUAUUGAAUAUAAAAAUCAAAGGAAAUAUAAAAAGUUAGAAACUACCUUUUUAGAAAAUAUUACUUUAAGUAGUGUUUCAAAAAUGCUAAAAGUUACUAAAAAAAAUUUGCUUACUGAACAAUCAAAUAAACUUUUCAACUAGUAAAAAAUGUUAAAAACUAGCUUAAAUGUCUUGUCAAGCAUAAUCUUAAAGUAGCAUUUUUUAAAAUGAUUGCUUCUAACUUCUAGUUCUUUAUAUUUUCUCUCACUUUUUAUCCUCAAUAUAUUUUUUUCAUUUUCCUUAUUAUCCUUUUUAAAUAAAUAAUAUUUUAUUAUUUUUCUGUCAUUUUAUAUUUUUCAACUACUUUAAUAACUAGUUUUAUCAAACACUUAUAAUAUAAUGAAUUAGUUUUUCAGCUAGUUUUGCCAGAGAUAGUCUUAGGUUGAAUGUUGAAAAAGUUAGUUAAAAGUUAAAAAAAUAGUUUCUUAAAUUAUAAGUGUUCAAUAAAUUAGUUAAUGAAGUAGCUUAAAAGUGUAAAAUGAUAAAAAAAAAUAAUUAAAUGAUGAUUUAUUUAAAAAAGAUAAAAAAAAAUGAAUAAAUAUAUCGAAUAUAAAAGUGAAAAAAAUAUAAAAAAUUAGAAGUUAGAAGAUGGUUACUAAAAAAAUUAUUUACCAAAUAACCAAAUGAGUUUUUCAAUUAGUAAAAAAAGUUAAAAACUAGCUAAAAUAUAUGGUGCAACAUAAUCUUAUUAGUUUCUAACAUUUUUUGAAACAUCAUUUGAAGUAGUAUUUUUUAAAAUGCAAGCUUUUAAUUUUUUUUAUAUUUUCUUCACUUUUUAUCCUUAAUAUAUUUAUCAAAUUUCUAUAUUACUUUUUUUAAAAAAAUAAAUUAUGGUUUUAUUAAUUUUUUUAAAAAAUCAUGGUUUUAAAAAAUAUAUUUACAAAAAACUUAUAAUUAAUAAGUUAGUUUUUCAGUUUCAAACUAUCAAUUUUUUUUAAUUUUUAACUAGUUUUUUAGAUAAUUUUAUCAAAUGUAACCCAACUAAACUAACUACUUUUAUUAAGAAGCGUAAAUUGGUUAAAAUAAUUUUAUAAUUAAGGACGGAGGAACAUAUUGAAAACCGUUAAUCCCUUAAAUAAAUCUUAAUCACUUAAAAAUUAAUUUUUAGUUUUUAGACGGAGGAAUAUUUUUGUUAAGAGAGAAAAUUAUGUAUUUACUCAUUAAAUCCGCAUCAUCACUUCGAUUUUUCAAAAAAAUUAUUAGCAGAUCCGUCUCUCAAAAAGUUAAUGUGUAUGUAUAUCUUUUUUCUAAACCUAAAUUCCCUCGCUACGAAAAUUCUUAACCUUGAGAAAAAUGUAUCUUUGAAUUUGUGCUUAGAUUGUGUUUGUUCUAAAAUACCACUAUAAAAAAUUGUUCAUGCAAAAGUCAAAUUUGAGAAUAAUAUCACAUUUUUAUUUUUGUUCAAGUUUUGAGGGAAAAAAAUAGGUACUGUUGAUUUUUAAGAAUGAAAAAUAUUUAUGUUUGUCUUAUUUCUAUGAUUUAAAAAAUGAAAAAAUAUGGAUACUUAUAUUUUCAUGGAAAUAGAAUUACCAUUACUUUUAUCUUUAGUUCAUUCUCGUACACUUAUUUUUUAUUUUUUAAUUAUUUUAAUUUUUUAAAAUUAUUAAAUAUCGAACAACAUGUUCAUAAGAUACUAGCUUUUAUACAAUAUUCUUUAAAAAAAAUUAUUCCUGAAAAUACAAUAUUAACAUUGAAACAAAUGUCCUCUUAGAAAUGAAGCAUUACCCUAUUUGGAGUAUUUUUUUUCUAUUACUAUUUUAUUUGUAAUACAAAUAAUUAAAAAAUAAUUAAUAUGUGCUAAAUAAUGUAACACAUAUUUUUAUCUAUAUUCAAAUACAACAAGCGGCAAUUAAUCUGCUUAUCUGUGCAAUAGAUGGAUUCUAACUUUAAAUCGCCAAUUAAAUAAUGGUUCUGGUUGUAUUCAAUCACGUGCAAAUGUGAAAACAUAUUGCGAUCCAAGAAAGGAAUAAAUAUAAAAUGUUAUUGUUGGGUGUGAUAAAAUGAAAAAAAAUAUUAUUGUUGGCAUUGGAAAAUAAAAUGAUCGCAAGAAGGUGCAAGUGGGGACAAUUUCAAGUCAAUAGAAUGGAUUACGCAAUUGAUAAUACAUACAUCCAAUCAAUUGCAACCCAAGUUCCUUAUAUAAUAUUUUUUAUAUGUUCGUACUUAUCCUCUUUCUCCUAGUCUUUAAUUGUUUAAUUACAUAUAACAGUGCCAAUCCUAAUCUAUAAAAAUAAAAUAGUUACAGAAAUAUAUUUUUUUAUAUGUACAUAAAUUUUGAUACUAUUUAGGAAAAUUUGGUACAUUUUCACGUUUUCAACUUUUUCAUGCUUAAUAUUUUUUUAUGUGAUUCAACAAGUUCCUAGUAUAUGUGUCCACCAUAUUUGUAGCUUAAUUGAUGCUGAUUUAAAACUUACAAAUAAUUUGAAUGCUUACUUUUCUUCAAACUAGAUUUCCUUCCUCUCUUUUAAUAUAUAAAAAAUAAAAUAAAUUCCUCAUGUACAAUGUGCAAUGUGUAAUAUAUAUAUAUAUAUAUAUAUAUAACUUGCAUGAUUGGAUCUCCAUCUGUUGACUUUUGGUGUGUGUCAAUCCGUCAAACUAUCAGCAAAUAAAGAGUGAGGUAUUAAGAGGCAAUAAUCAACAAAACAUCUUACACAUCCUAGUUGCUACUAUAACAAUGAUUCAGACAUAAGACGUCAAAAUGAAAAUGUCGGAAAAAUAAAUUAUAGUAGCAAUAUCAUAGUUUAAACGAUUUGUUUGUCUCCUCCGGACAACUAUUUUUCAACUUUCUUGGAUAUCUCAUAUACUGUAGUUUAUUUAUCUCAUAAAGUCUUUAGGAAUCUUCUUCUAGAUGAACUAAUUUAUGCUACUUAAAAAAUACAAUUAAUUUAAUUAAUGAUAUUGAAUUUGUUAAUUAAUAAUAUUAUAAUUUUGAAAUUAUUGUUUUUUAUCUCUCUUUAUUGAUUUUUAUUAAUAUUGUGAGAGAAAAUAAUUAAGUAAAAGUAUAUAUUAUAGGUAAAAAAUAAUAAUUAGUAUAUCGAAAAAUUAUGAAAGGGUCUUAUAAAAAAAAUAAAUUUUUGAAAAAAUCAAGACGGGGGAAGUAUGCGAUGGGAAAAAUUAAAAAUCUUAUAAUCAACAAUAAUGUUUCAAUUAGGCACAUCCAAUGAUUUUCUGAAAGAAACAACAAUUUAAAAACUUAAAACUUAAAAGAUAGUAUUCAAAUGAUUUAUUUUUUUCAAAAACAUUAUUUGAUCUCAUGCAUACUAGUUAAUAAUUUCAUGGGCUUAAGAGAAUGGAGUAGUGGUUGACUUGUUUAUCACACAUGGGGAAAUAUAACGUACCACCAUGAUAACAAUGAAAGGGGCUAGUGGCUAUAAGUUGAAAGUUAGUUAGUGCAAGUGUAAGAUUUGUCUAGAUGUUCACAGUGAAGGCUAAUGUUAAAAGGCCUCUCUAAUAGGGACAAGCUCACAAUUAAAAUUUUACUAUUAUCCAGAUACCAUUGACGAUUUUAAAUUUGUUGAUUUUGGGGUAAAUAUUAUCAAUGACCAUGAAAACUAAAUAACGUAUUAAAACUUUUAAUAAUUACAUAUUUAUAUAUAAAUAUUUAUGCAUAUGUUUAUAUUAACACUUCUUGACCAUAAUAAACUGUACAACUUUAAGUAAAUUUUACUUUUAAUAUUACGCGAUUCAAAUUUUUAAAUCUUCACCCUGGAAAAAGGUUGCACGUAACAAUCACUAUAAAGUCAAUACUCUAGCUACUUUAAUAAUUUUAUUUGAGAAAAUAUCUGAUUAAAAAAUGUGUAAUACAUAAUUCACCGACGCGUUAUUACUUACUUGUACAAUAUACAUUCUAGAAACGUAGUAUAAUGCAACAAUAACGUCUGAUUUGUCGUUAGUAAUUUCACCAAGUGGUUUGCAUAAACUUAAAUGAUUUUAUUUAUGGAAUAAAGUAUGAGUAAUAGAGAAAUAUGGUUAUAUAAGCGCAGAUGCGAUGAAUUAUAGUCUCAAUAUUUAGUUUUUAUAUAAAAGAUUAAAAUUUGAAUAUUAACCUUAUGUAUUAGAAUUGAAUUCCCAUUUGAUAGUUAUAUGCAGAGGAGGGGCAAUAGUGGAAAUUGGUUGGUGUAGAAGGAAAGUGUUGCGUGGAGAAGAUGUGUUGUGAAUAGUGAUGAGAUUGAGAGGACCACAUGGGUUUGUUUUGUUUAACUAAAACCAAGCUUAGGCACCCAAGUGGGCAAGUGUGUGUUUUUUUAUGUUAGAUUAAGUUUGGUGGUGGACACGUGGUCUUCACUGACGGCAUUGCCUUAAUUGAAUCUUCUACAUGGUUCUUCUUUGCAAUGCCCACUACUCACCCUCUUCUCUUCUAACUACAAGAUCAGAAAUUUCCCGUACGUUUUUUCAUGGUCAAACGCACCGCUAAAUGACAAAAUUAGACGUUUUAUGAGAACAAAAUAACAUCAAGAGUUCUAUGCCAAUUUUAUAACUCUCUCUUAGGGUGUGUUAACUUAAUUUUUUCCCAAAUAUAUACGUACUGUAGACUAGGUCCUUAAUUUGGUUGGAUCCAGAAUAUUCCGAGUUUUUUUUUUAGGAUCUCGACUUUCUCUUCCCAUAAAUUUUUUAUACUACAUCACUUUGCAGGUUAUAUCUCAAAAUGCAUGAGUUUUAAGCUUCAUUGAAAAGUCAAGAUUUGCCACCCGACUUUUGAAUGAUGUUUUCUUUUUAAUUUAAAUUUUGUUUUUAUUUUUAUAUUUAUACUUUAAUUUAAAUUAUUAAAAAUAUCUUAAAUAUCAUAUUAUAUAAAAAAAUUAAUUGUUUUUAAAAAUAAUUUUUAUUUGUUUAAGAAAAUGAUGUUAUUAAGUAUAAUUAUUGUUCUUAUAUUAUUUAAUUUAUAGAAGACUUAGUUAAUAAUAGACUUUGAUAAUAUUUAAUUUAUAUAAGACUUUUGAAGAAACUAAAACUCUCAAAUAACAAUUGAAAAUAAUAAAAUGAAUUUGAAACAUAACGAACAUAACAUAAUAAAAUAACAAUAACGCAAUGUAAUAACAAUAAUAAUUUCAUGAAAAUGACAAAAGUAAUCUUAGUUUAAAAGGUGUUAUACAACGAACAUGUCUUUUUUUAAUAGUUGAAUUAUUAAUUUGUUAAAAAUAGUUAAAAUUUAUAUUGGACAAAAACGUUGUCAGUAGUUAAAUUCUAUUAACAUCUUUAACACUUCUUUAUUGGUUAUCAACUCUAUUAUUUGAUACUCAAUUAAUUUUUCUGAAUAUUUUGUAUAAUCUGGUCGUCGAAAAAAUAAUUGUUUGACCAACUUUGAUUCAUGAAUUCCAUAAGAAGGAAACCCUAUAUGUGCAACUUGCUUAAUGACAUCCUUGAGUUUUUCCAUACUACAUGUAAAAGGAAUUUGAAAUCUUAUUAGGGGAUUUGUUUCAGUGAAUGAGUAAUCCAAAAAAUCUUCUUGUCAUGGUAUCUUCCACUUAUCAUCCUGAGUAAGAGUGAUCGUGGAUCGAAGUAGGUUGAGUAUGUCAUUUAUCUAUUCUUAGACAAAUAUUAUUGUUUAAAUAUUUUAUUUAUAAUAUAACGUAAUGUUUUUUUAUAAAUAAAUUAUUAAACAAAAAGUAUUAUCAUUUUUCAAAAAAAAUUUAAUGACAUAAACAAACAAAUUAUAUUCAGUAAAAUAAUAAUACAAGUUUUAAUUUUUUUAUUAAUACAAAAAUAAUAUUAAAAAAAUUUAGAUUUAAAAAAAAAUUAAAAUGUUAACUAAAAAGAAGUUUUGUAUAAAUUAUCAAACAAAGUAUAUUAUUAACUAAGUCUUGUAUAAAUUAAUAACAUCAUUUUCUUAAACAAAUAAAAAUUAUUUUUAAAAUCAAUUAAAAAUAUUUUUUAUAUGUUAUAAUAUUUAAAUUAAAACAUAAAUUUAAAAAUAAAAUAAAAUUUAAAUUAAAAAAAAUCACCCUUCAAAAGUCGGGAUGACAAAUCCCGACUUCUCAAUAAAACUUAAAACUCAUGCAUUUUAAGAUAUAACUUCAAAGUGGUGUGUAGUUUAAGAAUUUUAUGGAAAGAAAAUGUUUAAAUAGGUAAAAAACUGAAUAUUCCUCACAAUUGAAAAGUUAAGAUGUAAUGAUUUAAAUUGUUUUAGUAUUCUUUUUAUUAUUAUUAUAGGUAAUUAUUAUGUGUUUUGCUUCAGGAGGAAGGGAGCCUUAACAAAAACGUGCAAGCCAUACACAAGGGUGUGUGACACGGUGGACGUUACACUUUGCACUCACGCUACGCAUGCACUUAUUAUUAUUACUAUUAGUUGAUCGAAGAAGAUGGUGACUGUUGUGUUGAGUGUUCCACCACUCUUUAUAAUUUGUGCAAGUGUAAACUAGCACCAGUUAAAGACAAAGUAAUGGACAGCUGCGCUUAAAACUUUGACAAAUCCCUCUCAAGAAAAAAAAAACUUUGACAAAUCAUGUUCCUAUUUGAUUUCUAAAGGUUACUUCUUCUUAAGUCGUAACGGGUUACGCAGGUUCAUUUUUAUGUCGUUGCUAGAACCUUGUAAUUAAGAACUUGCAUUAAUUAAACGUGCGUGGUCUGCAGAACUGGUCCCGGUAUUUUAUCUAGCGGCCGAAAGAAAAAUUGUACAAUGCAAGUUUAUUGUAAAAUGCAGAAGUAAUCAUGUAUUUGUGAUUAUUUUUUUUGGAGAUUAUUUAUGAUUAAACUUUAGUAAAUUAAGAUCAUUUGUAUAGUUUCAAGUUUAAAGUAGAUCUGAUAAAUUGUAGAUGCACUUUUACAUUCAUAAUUUAUACAAAUAAUCUCGUUACAGAUCGAUGAGUAUUUUUUUUAUUUUUAUUAAUCCACGUUAUAGAUGAGUCUUAUCAUAAAAACAGUACGUCAAUAGAUUAUUGCAUGAGUUCGCGAUCGAAAAUAUAACAUAUGCUAAUAACUAAACAUAUACUAGGAUUAAAGUAUUGUUUUAAUUAUUUAGGAUAGUUAAGUAGUAUUGUCUUUUACUAAUAUUUGUAAUUUUGUUGUUUCUUUAACUUUUCAAAGGAUGAUACCAGAAUUUUAAAUUAUGAUAUCUUUUCUCAUUCUAAAUGAUACUUCAGUUAUAUUCAUUUCAUCAUUAAAUUAUAUAAGUGACUACUGUAUUUUUCAUCUACUUAUAAACACACUAUAUUGUUUUUGUAAACAUACAUGUUAUAUCAAAUUAGUCAUUUAACUUUACUUUUUUAUAUUAAAUUGAUCCUUAAAAUAACAUUAAAUAAGUCUUUGAAUAAUAUAAAUAGUUAUAUUAAUUGUCAUUGUAUGAUUAUUUUGAUGUAAUGCAAAAAAAAAAAAAAAAUCUAUCUAUUUCAAUGUAUAGUUCUAAAGUUCUUUUAGUAUGAUUGUUAUAUAAUACCUUCAAAAAAAGUUGAUUGUUACAUUGACAUUAUUUUCAGAACUUAUUUGACAAUGUUAAUUUUUUAAUAAAUAUAAAUACUAGUAUUAGAGCCUCUUCAAAACACAAGCAUACUGAUUUAUUAUAGACUAUCACAAACUGAAAUUAUUAUAUGAUACAAUUUAAGAAAAACUAAUUUUACAUUUUAUUAUAAAUUUAGAAUUUAUAAUUACAUUGUCUCUUACAAAAACAUUCAAAGAGAUAUACACAUUCAAAUCUGGUUAUAACUAUUAUAUUAUUUUUUCCAAAUAACUUUACAUGUGUGAUUUGCACAAAUCAUUUUGUAUUCUAAUCAAUUUGCAACGGCACGUUUAGUGUUUCCAUGUUUAGCAUUUGCCUAUGGUUGAGGCUGUUAAGUCUGCAAUCACAGCUUAAACAACAUAAAUUAAAAUCUAACUUAACAUGAUCAGGUACAUGAGUCUAAAUCAUCAUCAAAAUAUUUGUUAAUCGAAAGACAACAGGCAAACAAAAGAAAACAGUUCUAACUACAUAACUUCAUUUCUUCAGGUAAAAACUACUAACUUGCCAUCAAAUUUUCUCAACCUUAAUCUUUUUCUUCAGAACUUUGAGUGAUAAAUGCAUCUCUGGUUAACUCUGGACAGGUUCAACAUCCCUACCAAAACCAAGUGCCUUUCCUUUGAUGCUGGAAGUUUCAAUAGUUUAGUCUUUCUUUUCAAAAUAGCCACCUCCCAGUUGAUAUUAUUUGCACCUUCCAAAUUAGUUUGUAAUAAGCCCAAAUUUAGAAACAUUUGAAAUUCUGUCAAUGGUUUGAUUUACGGGUGUGUUUAAGGCUUGGUUUAUGCCAAAAAUGAUUUGUUAUGGGAUGCCUGAAUCCAAGAAGCAAAUAAUUGGAUGUCUGUCUGAGCCUUAUUUUCUUUUGGGUGCAGGAUCAUGCUAUUGUCAUUACUCUAGAGUUCUGUGUAACCAACAAACUAAAGGUCUCUCUAGAAACACAGGACGUUUGCAGCUUAUUGUUGCAAAUAUUUGAUAUGGCCUUGCAUUUGAAAUUUUCUGUUCUAUAAAUUUGUGACAUAAGACCUGAUUUAGGACGUGUGGAGAUUUUUUUCAAAGGAAACCAAAUCUUUAUUUAGUGGUAAUAUUAUUUUUCAUCCAUCUGUAGCACUUGUGUCUGAUUCCAUUGCCUUUUUGUUAUUUUUUCAAUAUUUUUGUCUUCUAAAGAAGUGCUAACUAACAUUUUUUUUUAUGGCUUGUGCAACAUUGGAGGGUCAUGGUACAGAAUUUCAUAGUGCCAAUCUUCUUUCACUAUGUAACUAGGUAUUAUCCUGUAUACGCCUGUUUAUUAGAAUAGUUUUGUGUUUGAAUGACAUUUUUUAAGUAAGUUUAAAUAUUCUAUUUAUUAAAAUAUACGCUAAUGUGGAUAACAUCAAUCUAUUUAAUAGAAUAUUAAUAUAAAUAAACUGUGAAUUAUUAAUAACACAAAAAUGUUACAUGUUUUAUAAAUCCGGGCGGCACGAAAUCUAGUUAAUGGGUUGUCAUGUCAAUCUUUGAAGUUUGAAGUAUUAAAAUCGAUUUGCAGUUUUGCAUUAUAUGUUGGUUCUCCAUAAUAGGUUAUGCAUCUGUUGAGAAAUUAAACUUUACAAGUUCAUUGCACAAAUCAGUUUUGUUUUGUUUUUAUUUUUUUUCUUACUUUCUUUUUCUUCUUCUUUUUGACAAAUGGGGGUGUGCAUUAAUGGCUCAAAGCCGAAGUUCAAAGGCGAUUUUAAAUAGGGAAAAACCUUUAAUUUAUUUUUUGAGAGGGGGAAAAACCUUAAUAAACCAAGCAACACCAUAUAACUAAUUUCAGAGGCUGCUAGUUUCAUUUUAUAAUUUCUUUUUGAAGAAAGUCACUUUUAAAAAUUUUCAUAUAUUUGUUUAAGUUUUUUUUUUACAAAAAAGUAUAAUUUUUUAAAGUUUUUUUAAAAAAUAUAAAUUUGAAAAAGAAAAGAAAACAGAUUUAUAAUUAUCUUGAGAGCCUUUUUUGAAGUAUUUUCUAAAAAAGAUAAUAUUAUAACCAAACAAAAUACAAUUUUUUAAAAAAUUUCAUAGUUUCUAAAAUAUAUGUUUUAAAAUAAAAUAAAAUAAAAUAAUUUUUUUCUAAUUAUAACCAACAAAAUAUAAUUUCUACUUUUCAUACAAGUUUUAAAACAAACUAUUAUUUUUAUAUAAAAAAAACUAGAAUCAAUGGGUUCUUAAUAAGUUAGCGUGCCCAGUGUAUGCUAUGUCUCUUUUUUGUUUUUGGACUUCAUAUAAUUAAGGAACGGGCUACAAAAGCCCAAAAAUAACAAUAGACACCUAAGAAGUGGCCCAACAGUACAAAAAGAGACAGCAAUUCAAACAACAGCCGAAGUCUAAAGCUACGGACAAAGUAAAUAACAAGAUUUGAAAAAACCCAAAUACUUUACUGUCUAAUACGCCUAAAAUAUACUCUUAUUACUUUAUAUUUUAGACUAUAUUCAAUUUGGUCCUUUUAAGUUUUAAAUAAUUUAAUUUAAUCUUUUAUGUUUUUGAAGUGAAUCAAAAUAGUAUUUUUGAAACAAUGAUCAUUUUUAAUUUUGAAAAAUAAUUUUAGAUCCUAUUGUGAUUGAUUCAAGACGUAAAGCUUGUCUCAUUUCCAUGUUACCAUGAAUAUGAAAUCUAUUGAAUUCAAUUGACAUUUGAAUGAAAAAAAAUGAUAAAUAUCUUAAAAAUUAUGUGACAAGUGAAUUCAACAACCAAUCAAAAAAUUGAAAAAAUCUAAUGUAACAUUCUUUUUUUUUUUUAUCCUAACACUCAUUUUUCACCAUGUGUUGGUCCCUUUUUAUAUGAAUAUUUUCGGCUUCCAUAAUUACCAUGUAAGUAAAUAUAGUGCAACAAAUUUUACGUCUCAAAUUAGUUAAAAAAGAGUUUAAAAUUACCUUCCAAAAUAAAUAAAAAUUAUUGUUUUAGAAUGACCAUUUUGAAUUUCCUUAAAAACAUAAAAAACUAAAUUCAACUUUAAAACAUAAAAGGCUCAGUUUAUUUUAGCCAUUUAGAUCUGAACCAAAAAGUUAAACCACAAAAUUAAUCCCAAAAAUCCAAAAAACAAUAUACUCUUUUGUAGUUUGUUUUGGUUUUUGGCUCUUGUUAAGUUAAAAUCAUCUUUUAGAGAAGUGAGUUUCUAUAAAUUAAUCUUAACUUAUAAAAAAACUUAAUUUAUUUUACCUUUUUGUGUUCUUAUCCUAUAAAUUUUUAUUAGAUAUUUUACUCAAACAAAACCUACCUUAAUGAAGUCAAAAUGGGAAACAGACCCAAAUGUCUGUCCAUUGGACAUUUCUUUUAUUGGGACCUGGACUUCUCAGGUUAUUGGAGGUCCAAAAACUUGGAAGGAAUUGCUAGGGACACCUAGCGUUUUGCUGGUACACCACCAGCAGAAGAUGUGCAAUUCCAAUUUUACCCUUUUGUAAGCCUGAUAUGGAUUGCCAAUCCGUAUGGGCCUACAGAUUGUCAAUCCAUAUUGGGCGUACGGAUGGGCCUAUAGAAAUCAAAUUUGUGUCUUCCGCAUUAUUAAUAGAACACACAAAUCAACUGACCUCAUAGACACAUUAUGUUAUAAAUCCCAUAGUGUCGUUAUAUAUAAUUUAUAUAAAUUAUUAGAUAAAAAAUAAUCAUCACAAAUAGAUGAUUUUUAUUUCCAAUUUUUUACAUAUGUAAAUACUUAUUAAACCUAUGAUUUUUAUUUAUAAUUUAUAUACAUAAACAAAUUAAUUAUUAGAUAAAAAAUAAUCAUCACAAAAUUUAUUAUGUAAAUUAACAUGUACGUUAAAUAUAAAUUAGAAAUUUUAGUGCUAUAUAUUGAGACACUAUUUAUUUAUAACAUAAUAUGUUUAUUAAAUCAAUUUGUAGAGUGUUCUAUUAANNNNNNNNNNNNNNNNNNNNNNNNNNNNNNNNNNNNNNNNNNNNNNNNNNNNNNNNNNNNNNNNNNNNNNNNNNNNNNNNNNNNNNNNNNNNNNNNNNNNUUUAAAAAAAUCCUAUGGAUCACGUAUGGCAAUCCGUAGGCUUGAUAUAGAUUGACAAUCCAUAUCAGGCUUACAAAAGGGUAAAAUUGGAAUUGCACAUCUUCUGCUGGGUGUACCAGCAAAAUCCUGGGUGUCCCUAGCAAUUCCCAAACUUGGACCCCUUGAUGUAAAAGAGAAGUUUGGGGCUGGCAAUUGUGUUCUCUCUUAAAUCUUAAUGGUUACUUGUAAAAAAAAAAAUUGACAGAAACUUGUAAAAGUUAUACACCGAAAGGAGAAUUAUUUACUAAACAAAUUGGAAUAUAAGAAUGAAUAUUUGUUUGUAAAAUUUUGUAAGAAUGAUCCGUGGGUCCAAAUAGAAAGAAUUGUUAAUAUUAUUAAUGAAUAAUGUUAAUAGAGUUAAAAUAUGAGAAAUUAAUUUAUAUAUAAAUAUUUAUAAAUAUAAACAUGCACGCUGUUAAAAUUAACAUUAGCAUUUGUAAGAAGUAUGUAUUUGAUUUUUUUAAUUAAAAAAGUGCUUCUUUUUUAAAUACGAAAAUGAGAAUAAAUACUUAUCAUAGCUUACAGAAAAGGCAUUUUCCCAUUUCCGACAUGCUUCUGUUUACUUUUCGCUCCCCCCCAAAAAAAAAGCGUUUGUGCCAGUUAGAAUUCAAACAAGUAUAUAGAAGCGUGUUUUCUAGUGGGUUAGUCUUAAUUUGGACCUAGUCUCCACUCGUGGUUCCAUGCAAAAACAUGGUUUCAUAUUUUCACUUUAUUUUACUGUACAAAACAUAAAUGGAAUGGUUUCAUUGGGGGGAUCCUACUCAAAUGUGUAUUUUAAUUUUUUCUUUUCAUAUCAAUAAAUUGUUAAUUGUUAGUUUUUUACUUUUCUCUUAUUCUUUUUUCCUUGUACCACUCAACUAACCUUAUAAUUCCAAUGACUCAAACGUUUAUUUACCAGCUAUAUAGGUUUGAAACAUUAAUUUGAUUUUGUUUCUUUGUCAAUAUGGUGGUUUAUUAAAAUCACUUUUUACUUAUAAAAAUAUAGUUGCAUGAAACAUUUGCUCUAAUACAAUUGUUGAAAAAUACACACAUUUUUUCAUGCCCAAUGACAAGAGAACACAUGAGACAUAAUGUGACUCAAUCUUUCAUGCCUAUAUCCACAAUCAUAUUAAUUAGUUAAUUUUUCUUGACAAAUUUAAUAAAUCUUUCAUUCACAUUAUCUUUUCUCACUUUUAGGGUGUUGGGCUAAUUUUUAAAAUAGGUAAUUCUUCUCAUUUCAAGAAUCAUUAUUUAUAUGUCUAACAUCUCAAAAGAGAAAAAUAAAUUCCUAAAAUAAAUAUAAUAUUUUUAAAUAUAAAGAACAUCUUAAAUAUUGAAUAACAUCCUAAAGAUUUAAAAUCAGAAAUUUAAAUUGUUUUUCCAACUAUAAUACCCAUCCUGUUGACAUUUAUACUAAAAUACUCAUUAAAAUUAGAUCUAUUUUAGAAACGGAGUGGGAAGUUUGUAUUCAUCAUGUUUCGUGGCACUAUAAUGUGGUUGCAAAUGGAUCAAACUUACAAAUUUGAGCUUCCUUCGUUGUGGGUUGAUGAAAAUAUAAAAGGAACUUCAAGUUGAAAUUAAUUAAACACACCAGAUUUAAGUUAAGAAAAUUAUGUGCAAAAUAUCGCUAUAUAAAAUGGAACUUCACUCAGCUAGCCGUAUCUAAAAUCAAACUACAAAUUCACAUAUUUUAAUUCAAUUCAUCGCACAAAUUGUGUUACAUUUAGUUUCAUGAAUUGAGUUGAUAAGGACAAAAUACUAAAUUUAUAAUUUAUGAGUUAUCUUUUGGUCUUGGAUCAAAUAAAAGUGUCUUUUAACCCAUUGAGUUAGUAACUAAUCUUACUUAUAAUUCACUGUUUACACACAAAGACGUACUAUCAAAUAUAAUCUUUUUCUUUAAAUAAAUUAUUCUUUUACCUGUAAAUACAACAAAAUUACAAUGUGUCAACCCUGUUAGUUACCAUUUAUGAAUUAUUUACGGGUUAAAAAGAUCCCAAUUCGUAUAAAUCCGAUUAAGUUGACAGACAUUUAUUUUUUAUGGAAGUAUAGUCAUGAUUUAGGGCCAAAGGACCACUUUUCCAAAAAGAAAAGUAAGGAACUUACUUACCCGGGUGCACCUUGCACAAGAGCCAUGCAUGACUUUCCAUAUCCCAAACCAAGCGAGACGCAAAGGCUACGUACAACCAACCCUUAUUCCUUCAUUUCCCACACAAUAUUUCAACUAACCUUUUCCCUUGCAUCCUAGACUCUUCUUGAUGGUCCUUCGCUUCAACGCACAACAAUGGCAACUGUUUUGAAGUCAAGCUACAAGAACCAAUAUUGGUUUAAAGUGGCAUAUAUAUAUGACUUGUUAUGUUACUUUUGGAAGCUAAUGUUUGUUUUAGUUAAAAUGUGCAAAAUAACUUGUAUAUAUACUUGAAGAUUUCUACUCCACCCAACCCACUCAUGUGCCAUUUUCGUUGGGUAUUUUUGUUGGUUUUUCUUUUCGUUGUUUUAACAAUUAGUACACUACUUUAAUACAAGUUGGGUGCAAAAAUAUUCUAAAUUCACGAACAUAACCACCGGCGGACGCCGCCAUUUUGAACAACAGUUUUGAUUGAGUUUAGGAUUUUUUGGGGUAGGUGAUUCAGUUUAGGAUUCAUCAUAUAUAACUAAUCGUAUAAUUGAAUAAUAUCCACCAAAACAAAAUAUAAUUCAAUAAUAAUACUCGACAUAUUAUAUUAUUCACGUCAUUCUCUUUAGAUAGUGUAUGGGACAAUGUUUACAUGCAACUUCAUCAACACCUAAACAGCCUAAAUUUUAGACAUCCUUAAUUUUUUUUAAUCUAGGAUAUCCUCGACUAAAAAUUAGAUUAUAUCUUUUGAGACACUAAACAGCAUUUCAUAUAGUACAUCAAAAUAUUUAAUUUUUUUUAUAGAUAUUCGUAAAAGUAUCAACAAUAGAGACUAGAGAACAAUAUCUCAUUAAAUAUGAGUCUAGCUUAAAAAAUAUCAACAAUAGAUAAAAUUAAGUAAUUAAUGUGUGAAUUUAUGGUAAUUUAAACAGGUAUAGAUUCUCUAGUAUACUCCCUCUAUCAUAUACAUACGCAUUAUUUAAUAUAUUAAAUUUAAAAUAUUAUAUUUAUACAAUAAACAAAUUGAGUAGAUGGCAAAUUAUAGUUUUUAUACAUAUAGUGUAAUCUUGUUUCAAAACUCUAUGUCCUAGCUAUUGUCCUAAUUUUUCCAUAUAACGUCUUAGUUUAUAUUCGUCUAAUUUCAGAAGCAAAUCGAUAGUUUUAAAAUAUAACCCCCUAAUAUUUUUAUUAAUUAACACUCUGUAUUUUGUUAAUUUUUCAUAAUUACUUUUGUUUUAAUUAAAAUAGUAUUUUUAGUUUAUUGCAUUAAUUAGUUUGUAAGAAAGAAAGUAUAUCUGAUUUAAUAGAAAUUUGAGUAUAGGGUAAUGUAUGGAUAUACAAGUACUUAUAACCACUCUUAACUAUACAUGAAAAUGUAUGAUAUCAUGCACUAUGUAAAGUCCACGCAUUAUUAUCCUUGAAAUGUCUGGGAUCCUUCGUAAAUCAUAAUCUUGACUACUAUAUACUAAUUAAUAUUUAUUAUGAAUAAUGUAUUGUUGUCCAAAAGGACGACGCCGUCUGAACCUUGGAAUGAGUUUGCCCCGCUUAAGAAAACCCACUCCAUUUCAAAAAUCCAACAAUCAUCCACAGUUCAGCUGAUGCUUAGUAGCUUACCAAGUUUCACUUUAUAAGACCUAUAAAAUAAUAAAAAACAGAAGAUGUACUCAAAUUAUGAUACUAUAUUCAAUAAUUUAUAAUAUCAUGAUCAAGCUUUGUACUAUGGUUUUAUGACAAGUGUGACAUAAAUAUUAAUAUACUAACCUAUAUAUUAUAAUUAAGAACAAUAUUGACUUUGAAAAAAGAUGAAAUAAAAUAAAUUUCUUGGUAGAAAAGAGAAGGGGGAGGGGGGGGGGAGGGUGAAGAAAAGUUUAAAAAGGAGUAAAAGAAAGGGGAAAUAAAGAAAAGAAUAGAAGAAGCAAGAAUGCAAAAUAUAGAAGUAAUUACACACACAAAGACAAUGUAUAAUGGGAACCGUUUAAUUCAUUUAAGGUCAGUCAAGUUCUUGAGAGACUAACUUUAAGGUCAGUUGUGUCCUGUUUAACUAUACGUAUCUUAAAGUUAAAAAAUUACUCAAUUGAAAGGUGAUAUUGGUUUUAGAUUACUUAGUUUUCUGUUAAAUUUGGUUAGAGUUUUUAUAUUUGACUGAAAAUAAUGAUUUUGGACAUUAUAUUUUUAAUAAUCGGCAAAUUCCACCUUUUAUCCUAAUACCACAAGUAGCGUAUAUCGGGGGAAAAAAUCACACGUAGCAUAAGAAUUAUCGAAAUUCAGGCAUUAUAAAAAAGUAAAUAAAUAAUUGUUUUUAAAAGUACAGAAAUUAAGAACAAUUUUGAUAAAAUUUGAAUGAUUUAAAACAUAUUUUACAUUAUAAAAUAUUAAUGCAUCAAAUUGUUUUCUAUCAGAAGUUAAAAAGAAAAGAAAAUAAAAACUAUAUAGAUAAAUAUUGUACUGCAAAUAUUUUCUUCUUUUGUGCCGAAUUUAUAUUUACGUUUCUCAUUAUGCUUGCCAGUAGUUAUUCAUUCUUAAUCUUUUUUCUUCCACGUUCGUAGGUUAUCAAACACUCAAUUAUUUUUCCGAUUAAUUUUAAGCUCUAAUUUUCACUACAAAUUAACCAUUUUAUAACCCGUUUUUGAGAGCCACAAAUGAAUUCUUUUGUUUCUCUUCUCUUUUGUCAUUUCUUCCACAAAAACGUACUACGGUAAAAUCAUACCAAAGAAUUUUGUGAGAAAUACACAAGACUUGGUCAUCGUAAUAAUGCUUUCCAUUUCAUGGCUGUGGUGUGGGCCUAUAGCUCAGAACUCAUUCAAACAACAAUUAUUGACCAAAACUCAAAAAAGUGAAGUAUUUAAAAGUUAAUGGCCUACUAAAAAACGAGUUGACCCUUCUCAGCCGAAACUCUAUGAACUCCUAGUGUGUGUGGCACGCAUACCAUACUUUAAGAAGAGAAUAGUAAAACUAUAAUUUAAAUUUACAAAAAAAAAGUAAAUAUAAAAAGUAAUUUGAAUGUGAAUCCUUUCAAAUUCAUUUUAAAGAAGAGAGAAAUGUUGUUUUGAACUAUUUUGAGUGUUUUUUAAGUUGUAUUUUAUUAGUAUUAUUCUUGUUUAUUCGUGUAUUAUUAUGCUUUAUUCACCAUUCCGAGCCGCAACUCUAACUUUUGUUUUUGAGAAAAAUCUAACGUAUUUUCUUAAAAAAAAUGAAGAUGAAAAAUUAUGAAUGAUUAAAUUGAUGUAACAAGAAAAUAAAAUGAAUGAUUAAAUUGACCGUCUCAAACUGUUAUGUAACGCUUUUGCUUUUGCUUCUUUUUUUUUUUUUUAAGGAAGUAACACUUUUGCUAUUAAAUGUUCUUUCCGCGUUUAUCUGUUGUUUUCCUUUUUCGUUACACAUGGAAAGGAAGCUCUUGAGAGGGAAAUAAAUCACUUGAGUUUUUCCCAUCUUUUUUCUCCCUUAACUGUCCAUUAAGUCGUGAAUAAAAAUGUAAUCUGUUUUCACUCUGCCGACCUCAUAUGUAUAGUGAUGGUCUAAUCCCAAGUGACAUACUUUUUGUGCAUCAUGAUUUGUGAAUUUUCUUUUUCUUCUUUGACCUUAUGAAAUUCUAAGCAAUAGCAAAAGAAAAAUUAGGCAUUCAGAGCAAGGAACCUUUUAGAAGUGUAGAAUCAGUAUUUGGAAUUUAAUCCCAUCGUUAUCAGAGACUAGAGGCUAGAGUAAUUUCUUAUUACACAACCUACGUAAUAAAAUUUAAAGAAAAAUAUAUAUUUUUUUGGAAUUUUUUCUACGUAUUGUUUCUUUUUUAUUAUUUAUAAACAUUUAUUAUACAAAUUAUCGUUUUAAUAAAAUUUAGAUUUUUAUGAAAUAUUAUAAAUUUCGAAACUUUUGAUAAGAAAUAAACAAGUUUCAAUUUGUAUUAAUAGAAAAAACAAUUUCAAUUUGUUAGAACUAUAAUUCUUUUAGACAAUCAUUACGAAGUAAAUUUAAGGAGGCGUCUAGGAGGAAAAACGUUUUUUUAUAUCCGGAAAUACUAAGAAUUAUGUUUAUUGAAAAUGAGUAAAAUCUAUUUGGUUGUUGAUAGAAAAUAUUUAGAUAAGUUUUAUAGGAAUUGAAGAGUUAUAUGAUAUUUUUUAUCAAUUAUUUUAAUUAUUUAUCAUAUUAAUAAAAAUAACAUAAUAGGUUAACUGCCUUAAAAGAAAAAUUAAACUUAAAAAAAGAAAAUUCUCACUUGUGAGAAAGUUUUGACGAGAAACUUGUUAAAAAAUAUUCUUCGAAAAUAUUAUUUUUAAGGAAUCUUAUUUUUUUUAAAACCAAAUAACAAACAUGAAAAACUAACAUUCAUUCCAAAAAACUCGAAACUUCUCUUUUAACAAAGUCUUAUUGAAAUCAUUUUAAAUCAAAAGAGAUAAAAUUAAUUUUCAUAUUUAAAACAAAAUAGUAAAAUUAAUAAACUAAUGACUAUAAUAAUAUUACUCUUAACAUGUGCAUGUUUGUGCUAGCUAAAUCCUGUUAUUAAUAUAUAAUAUUUUUUUAAUUAAUUAUUGAUAUAACAAUGUAAGAUGAUAUUUUUAAAGCUACAUUCACGGGUCUGGACUUUUUUUAAGUAAGACACUAAAUAUUUUAUUCUUGAAAUUGGCAAAAAUCAUUAGACAAAUGUGUCAUUGGAAAAGAAGACUCCAUAAAAAUAUUCAACCAAUUUUUUUGAUAAAACUUACUAAUUGAUAAAUAAAAUUAGUUGAUAUUUUGCAUGGUAAAAAAAGAAACCGAGAAAGAGAUAAUUUAUUUACUGCUUAUCCUCUAUUCAGAAAAUAUCCAAAUAAGUAAAAGCUAAUUUAAUUAGAAAAUCAGCUUCUUUUCUUAAAAAGGGCAUGGAUUGAUGCCAUAUUAAAUUCAUUUUUUAAUAUAGAUUUCUAUCAAUUGAUAUAAUAAUAUAAUAUUUUAUCUCUCUCUCUUCCUUUCUUGUAAAAACAUAGGUUUCUCCUAAUUUAUUAGAUAGAUCGUGAUUUAUUAUUUGAGGGAGGGUUGAGUAAAGUUAAACAUACUUAGAAUUUGAAGUACAAUAUCACUUAAGUUCAGGGAAUAUAUAAAUGCAACUUGCCCUUAAAAAUUUACACUAAUCAUUGCUCCAAAUGAGCUUCUAUAUAUUUAAGUUUUGUAUUUACAAACCAAUCGUGUCUUUAGGGAACAUAUAGAGUAUGCCUAAACAUUAAAAACAUUUCAAGCAAUUUACAAUGAUAGCCAUUUUCUCAAACAUGUCCCCUAGCAAACCCCUAAAUCCUUAAAGUUAAAUAUAUAGAUUUUCUAUUGAGCUUCUUUCCUAAAGUUUCACCUUGAUCACCAAAUCUGAUUCACUUUUGUUCCUCUGACCAGACCAGAAAAGGAAAUUAAAGCUGCUUUAUUAAACCCCAUCAUAAUUCCCUUUCCAUGUGGCCCCCAAAAAAUGGGCACAUACAAUAGAAACCUAGGAAAUUGCCAAGAACCGAGACACGAUAGAGUACUGAAUCACCUUAAUUAUUAUCCCCAAAAGACCAGCACACGAUGAAACUACAAAGAAAUAGCUGUUUAGAAUGAGGUCAGUCAUUAGCAACAUGACUAGAAAGUGACAUAGCUUCUCUAACAACUUCGUUUUAUGGUCUGAACAUCCAGAACUACUUGUGCUGUCAACAUUCAAAGUCAAUUAGGAUAUAUGGGACCACAUACGUCUAUAAACGAAAUGAUCUUGGAAGCCAAUAACUUGAACAAGUGCUACGUGAUUUCCAUAUUUUAAUUAACAAAUUUUAUUGGGAUAAAACCUGGUUGCUUACAGCUUGUUCUUGCCCCAGUUUCCAAAAUUCUCCUCUAAAUAUAUCUACCUUAUCUAUCACCAAGUGGGGUGUAUUUGUGAAUGAAAAUAUAGAUUACGCCUGUAAAAUAAUUUUAUACUAUUGAUUUUUACAAAAAUUACAUUAAAAAUCACAUUAAUGAUAAUUUUUAUUGAUUAGUGGGAUAAAAAAAUCUAUACUAAUAAUACAUAACCAUUAAAUUCUUUGUGAAUAAUAUUUAAUUUGAUGCAAGUAGUAUGAAAUACCAGGUUCAGCCACGGUAACAACAAUGGUUUCUGUAUUCUUUAAGAUGGCUCAACUGUAUAUAUUGUUUAUUUUCAGUACUCCAACAAAGUACACCGGGGAAUAAUUAAAUAAAUGCAGUUUCCUUCCAUGGAUUUUAAAAGGUUGGCAGGUAGAAACCACUAAAUAGCAAGGAAGUUCUAAUUAAUGCCUCAAAAUAGUAGCUGGUGUGUUUAGUGAUGUGAAUCGGGCUCAGCGAGCUUCAGCAGUAGGUAUCCCGUAUUCGUCUUAAUAGACAUACAUGUUUUCUUUGACAUGCCUCAAAAAUAUUUAUGGAUAUGAACUAACAGAAUUUAUAUUUUAUUUUAAUUUUAUAUAUUUUAUUAUUGUGUAAUAUCUGAAUUUGAGUAAACUUCAAGAGUGUAUAUUAUUAGGGAAAUGAUUUUUGAACAAAAGUGGGCAACAAACUGUUCUCCCUUUUGAUUUUGGAAUUGAAUUUUUAAUAUGUGCAUAUAAAAAGGAUAAAAAGAAAAGAAAUAGAGAUAACUAUAUAUAGAUUAUAGUCUCAAUUUUUUAAGUUUAAAUAAUGAAAUUGAUAUUGUUAGCAUGCCUCAUCUCUACUAGAAAGCAUAACUCAAAAUACUCUUUACAAAACUUAAGCAAUUCUCCUUAUAAAUGAAUCACACUUGACUACAAAAUCAAACUUACAAAAGGACGAUUGUUGAAAUUUUAUAAGGAAUCUUUUACUCAUAUUUUGCCUAGAAUGGGGCUUCUGAAUAAAAUUUUAUAAGCCAUGGUAAGAGUACAAUAUUUGUGAAAGCUUAUAACUGAUAGCUUAAAAAUAAGAUUCUUGAUACCUGUGCAUGUUCAUAGACAUAUAUAGACAUAUCGUAGUAAAAAUAUUAGAAGAGUGUACAGUGCAACUGAAAAUGAAUCAAGGUUGACGGCUUGGCUCGGCAUCUUUGGAAUCACUUGUUCUACGGUAUCUAGAAUUUGGUCUGAUUUGAUUUGGUGAAGAAACAAGCCAUCAGGAUUAUUAUUGAAGAAGCUUCUUGGGUGUUGUUAUUAUCAUCCACAAAAUUAAAUCAAUUAACUAUUUCUAAUUUCCAUCACAUGGAUGGAGUCCCUUAAUAAAUGUUUUAUAGCACAAGGGAGAAAAACCAUUGAAAUCAAAAUCAAGUCCCUUAAUACCGUUUACAUUUCUUUAGAAAAGUGGAUAGGUAUUACUAAUACUUUAUAAUAUAAGCCAAAGUCCUGCACCAAAUGACAUAAGAUAGAUUUGAUCGAUUAGCCUGGCCUACACGGGAGAAAAAAAAAAUACAAUGAUAAUGAAAUGAAAUGUGGUAGGUUACUUUAUGAAAGUCUUUCAAAAAAAAAUUACCCCCCAAACCUUUAAGCCUCGGUCUUAUGAACCUAUAAAAGCAGAACCAUCUAACUUGAUUUUAGCAUCAAUUAAUAAAACUAUUCAACUCACUUAAGCCUGCACAAAAACAACUUAAUAGAAGAUGCCUUCCAAGAGGCUUCAAUGGAGAUCCUUAGUACUUGGUUGUUUCAAGGCCACCAAGAACCAAUCCUUGGAAUCUCCAAACAUAGUUUCCAAGAAAUCAUCUUCAAGUAGAAUCUUCCUUUCUGAUUUAAGCCUAAGCGAUUAUUCAUCAGUUUCUAUCAUGAGUGAUUUGUCCAAUUCUCUCGUGGGAUCAAAUCUUCGUAUUUUCACCUACCAAGAGCUCUCUGAGGUUACACACAACUUCAGCAAAUCCAACUAUCUUGGGGAAGGUGGGUUUGGGAAGGUGUAUAAAGGAUUUAUUGAUGACAAUCUUAAACGUGGAUUGAAAGCUCAGACUGUGGCAGUUAAGGCCUUAAACUUGGAUGGAAAACAAGGCCACAGAGAGUGGUUGGUAAGAAUCUGCUGAACCAUUCAAAUUUCAAUAUCACUAAUCCAUAUUAAUUCCUCUGUCUUUCAAGUGAUGAAUUUGACUGAUUCAUUUUUUUUUUGUACUACAUAGGCUGAAGUAAUCUUUCUGGGGCAAUUGAAACAUCGCCAUCUGGUUAACUUAAUUGGCUACUGCUGUGAAGAUGAGCAUAGGCUUCUUGUGUAUGAGUACAUGGAGAGGGGCAAUCUAGAGGAAAAGCUUUUCAAAGGUACACAUCAUACAUGCAUGCCUUUGCUCUCAUUAUGAAAGAAAAAGGGGAAAACAAGAAGUGAAACAAAACAACACUUAGAACAUACAAUUGUUGCUUCAAUGAUGUCUUACAAAAGGGUUACCCUUCUAAAAUGCAGGUUAUUUAGCAGCCUUGCCUUGGCUAACAAGAAUCAAAAUAGCAAUUGGGGCCGCAAAGGGACUUAUGUUUCUUCAUGAAGAAGAGAAACCAGUCAUAUAUAGAGAUAUCAAGGCCUCAAACAUUCUAUUAGACUCUGUAAGUCCUCACUUGCCUUUUUGUUCACUCAAUCAUAUCUGUUAAACUAAUUAGAAUUUACACAGAUUGACAUAUAGACACUCAUUUUCUUCAGGAUUACAAUCCCAAGCUCUCUGAUUUCGGUUUAGCAAUAGAUGGACCGGAAAAAGACCAAACACAUAUCACGACUCAUGUGAUGGGUACACAUGGUUAUGCUGCCCCUGAGUACAUCAUGACAGGUAUUGUAUUCCAUUUCAAACCAACCUCUUUGAUUUCAUUAAUUGAAACCAAGCUUUAAAAUUGCGGUCACAUUGACUCCAAAAACUUUAAUGUUGUGGCCGCUGAAAUCAUGAUCACAGACAGUUUUAUAAAACCUUGAUCAAAACCUUCAAUCAAUUGAUUGUACUAAUACCUUCUUUUUUUUUCUUCAUUAGGCCAUUUGACAACCAUGAGUGAUGUAUAUAGCUUUGGAGUUGUUCUCCUAGAGCUCCUCACAGGAAAGAAGUCUGUGGACAAGAAAAGACCCACCAGAGAGCAGGAUUUGGUGGAAUGGGCAAGGCCAUUGUUGAAGGAUUCCCAUAAACUAGAAAGAAUAAUGGACACAAGACUUGAGGAUCAGUACUCAACUGAAGGGGCUAGAAAAUUUGCAGCCUUGGCUUAUCAAUGUCUUAGCCAUCAUGCAAAGGCUAGACCCACCAUGAGAACCGUGGUUAGGACCUUAGAGCCUCUAUUGGAACUGAAAGAUAUCCCUGUAGGUCCUUUUGUCUAUGUGGUGCCCAGUGAAGAAGACAAAACCAAAGUGAAUGAAAAUGACCAUGUUGAGAUCAACCAAGGUGAGUUAAAAACCAAAGAAAAAGAAGAAAAGGGUCACCACCGGCAACGAAAAAGUCGUCGCAAUAGACGUCGUGUUAAGCCAUUGAGGUCUCUUACUGCUCACUCUGACACUGCUCUGUAUAAAACUCUUGGUACAAAUCUGUACUCUCCAAAACAAGCACAAUAAAGUGAUGGACAUGGACCAGUGUUUGCAUCAUCCAUCUUCAUUUCUUGGUGAUAAUACAAUCAUAGCUAUUCAUAGGGAGAUUAAAAACUUUGGUCAAAUUCCUUGUAUAUUUUUACCAUAAAGUUCUCAAAUUAAACAACAUGUACAUAGUUUUUUCAACUUUAAACAGCUCCGUUAAAAAUGUGGUGGAAUUUUGAUAAAAAUAAAAAACAAAUCACGUGGCAAUAUUUAAUUUGAGAACUUGAUGGUAAAAAUAUAAAGAAUUUGAUGUUUUGUUUAUGUAAACGCAGACAUCGUAGGAGAAGAUAGGGAAGUGUAUUAUUGUAAGUCAUACAGCUCAAAGUUUUUUUGUUUUUUGUGUAGUUUGAUUUUGAUGUUUUCUUUGCAGAAAUUCCACAUGUUUUUUUUGAGGACUGAUGUUACAUGCGCCUAAAUUUUGCCCACGUACUUCUUUAAAUUAUGCUUAUUAUUUUACGCACAUUCAUAAAUAUCUUUGGCAGUUUAAAUUUUACACAUAUAUCACAUUAACAUAAUUGUGUGUACAGUUUAGCUUUGUGGUGGGGUGGGGUUUUAAGAUUUAUCAAAGUUUUCUACCUUAUCGUAACAAAUUUGGCCUUUGUCGUUGAGACUUAGGUCUGAAGCAAGUUAAAAUUGAUCUGUUUUUGGAAUUUUCCACCUUGUUAUUGAGAAAUGUUGCCUUUCUAAUGGUGCCUUAAGAUCUGUACUCUGGCAUUUCCUUCUUCUUCUUUUUAUUUCUUCUUACCCUACAAAGUCAUAAACGUUCAUUUGAAAAACUAGUGAUUUUGAAAGUGAAAUGGGCCAAAUUAUUUUAAGACUUGAUCCGUUGACUUCUGCGGCGUGUUGACAAAUGGCUGUUUUUUAAAACAAAACUUGUGUUGUGGAUUAGAUUUUUCCAAAACUGUGGCACCCAUGUUGUAACGGAAUAGAUUCAUUUUGCUACGCAGAUGGUUUUGUAUUUCCUAAUUAUUUUUUAAACCACUUUCAUUUUGCGUGUGGAGAAAUAUGAAGUAAAGAAAAUUAAUAACUAAAAAUCUUGUCCUGAAGUUGGUUGGUACUGAUAACCAUGAAGUGAACCCACCAGUUAAGGACAAGGUUGGUGUCUGCUAACUGAAAUGGUCAAUGAUAUUCCCAGUUUAUUAGAAUGAUAAUAGAGUGUUAAAAUUACUAACAAAAUGCGAUUAAAUUGUCUAUUGAUAAGAUAAAUUCGUUCAAUUUACUUUAUCAAAAAAAAAGUCCGUUCAAUCUAUCUUUCUUACCCACCUUAGUUGAUAUAACUUAUAAGGAUUAAUGAGUCAAUCUUUUAACUUGGAUACUUCGGUAAUUGGCUUAUCCAUUUCCAUUCAAUGUUCUAGAAUUGCAACAAAACAAUUUCAUAUCAAAUCAACCAGAGUUACUCUUUCAUUUGGGUUUAAUAUUCACAUCACCUUCCUUUACCAACCCCAACCAGCCAAUAGUGGGGUUAAUGAAAAUCACUUGCAGUAAAGCUAAAAUCACAAAUUAAGAAUCUGAAACUAUCUUCUUGUGACAUGUCAACAAUCAAAAUAAAGACUAACACUUAUCAAAUCUAAUGCCACUAGAUAAAUAUUGGCUUGCAAAUUCAACAAAAAAUUAUGGCAUUUUCUGGAAUGUUGUCAUUUGCAAUCCUCCUAAUAGUGCCAUUAAAAAAAUCAGAAAUUCUUUAUUUGCUUUAAAUAAGUACCUGAUCAAACACAUUCUAGAGCGUAACAGUAUAAUAAUAAUAAUAUAGAAGCAGACACGAAGUUGGUGGUCCAGCAGCCACAAAUCUAACUAGCUAAAAAUAAAACAGGUUUGAAAAUUAAACAAGUAUUUUGGAUUGUUUAUAAAAUAAAAAAAAAAUCAAUCUCCACUGACAUUUAUGAGAUAAUAAGUCAUUUUCAAAUUGUUAACUUUCCUAAAACCAAAUGCUGAUCACAGAAUAUACAAAUAUCUGAAGUCAUAUGGAAUGACAUAAUUGUUUUACUUAGUUUGUUUGUAAGCCAAAUUGUGUGGAAAUUAGUACAGGAAAAUGGGGUUUGCUUCUAUAUCAAUAUGUUGAAGCUGCAUUGUUCAACGUAGAAGAACAAAGUUAGGCAUCAUGCCACUUAGAAGAAUCAAAAUUCUUUAGAUAUAAUUAUCUAGCAUAGACCGCGUGUAUUCUAUUCAAUAGUUGUAAAGAAAGGAAAGCCACAUAUAUGGUUCAACAAGGGAGAGAAAGAGUUUAUUUAACCUCUAGCAAUAGCAGAUGAACUGAAAAUGAAACUGUGACUUGAAUAUUUGUUGCCAACAAGUUGGACUAGAAUGUGUUCAAUUCAAUUAUUCACCAAUCUAUUUGUAUUUUUCUAAAUGCUAAAUAAAAAAUUUAUUUCAUUCUUCCAUAUUUUCGUCUUUCUCUCCCUGGUGGUAGCUGAACAACAACACAUACAUCCACAUUGGGAACAAAUCCAUAGUAUGAUAGGAUUACAAUGCAAAGCUUUUCUUCCAUUUGAGGAACAAUUCACAUUAAUUUGAUAUUUUGUUACAGCAAGGAUAUGUACGAGUAGUCAGCAAUUUUGUAUCCACAAUCCAUUCAUAUGACAAAGCCUUUCAGAAACAUUUGGGGAGGACUGGCUUCUUAAUUUAUUAUAAUUUAAUAGGAGUAUCAGUUUCAAAUAUUAAGCUGCUUUUCCUGAUUAAAAUUCAAGUUUUUGUUUCUUAUUCAUUUCUUUUCAUGAUUUUCUUACAUUUUUUUUCUUCACCCCACUAUCAUUUUGAUCCAAGACUCUGUCGGCAUGUAAUACUCGUUUAUCAUAUGUGAAUGUAACUCUAAUUAGCCUAAACAACGUUCACAUUAUUCUAGAGUAACUCUAUUUGGCACAAAUUAAUUUCUAAUCAGGUGUUGAAUGAGAUGUCCUUAGUGGUUAAUGUUUUUGAGUGUAACUGUCAAAAUAAAGAAACAUAAGGUUUCAUUCUUACUUACAUUUGUCAAAAGUAAUUUUAAUUAUUUAGUAUGCACAACAAAAAUUACUAGAAACUUGGAGGUGAAGAUAGGGCAUUGUGUCAAUGAAUAAAAUAAUAUUUUACGUUAGCGUGACAGAAUGUACAACUGAAUGGGGAACUUGUUGACGGUUAUCAUCACCGCAGCAUCAUUUGUAACUUUUUCACACCUAGAAAACUAUUAAACAUAUUAUAAUAAGAAAAGAAAAAGAGAAGAAAUAUAUAUAUAUAUAUAUAUAUAUAUAUAUUAAACUACAUUGCUUAGUAGAAUUUCAAAUUAGCUUACACAAUUAAGUUGUUAGCACGUCAAUGUCACAUGCAAAUGACGCAUAAUAAUUAAUUUUCUUCGUGUUAGUUUUAGACAUUAGAAAUUAAUGCUAAUUAUAACACAUUUUAACAAUAAAAUAAAAUUUGACAACGAUAGAGGAAAAUGUGUUCGCAUCCCAAUCUCAUUUUCAAACACGAAUUCAUCAAUUUUUCCAUUCAAAGCACCAAUACAAAGAAGAACCCCUUCAUCCCACAAAAUUUUGUUCCCCUGUUAGAGAUACCAUAUCAACAAAUGUACUCAUUACAGCAGCUAAACAUGACAAAAAAAAAGGUAAUAUACUAUAUCGUACGAGACUAUUCUGCAGAAAGUAGUACGAAAUCCACGUGUUUAUAUAUUAACUAUAAUUAAAUAAAUAUUGAAUUAAAAUUAAAAUAAAAACAAGAAGUUUGACGAACACUAGAAGCGGCUACCAUAUGCAGAAUUGGCGUGACACGAAUUCAAAGUUUCUAGCAUUUUCAAAAAAAAAAAACUCACAAAUAUUCCGAGUGCAAUAAUAUUCUCUACGAUUGAGAUUUGAUUUAAGUUUUUUGUACAGUAUAAUCCACUGACAUGUGUUAUUAGCCGUAUAGACCAGAAGUUUCACAUGACAAAUACUGAAAUCAUACAAAAUUCUCCAUUCAAACAUUUUAUAUAAUUAUAUAUUUAAAAUUUUAUUUUGAUUCAUUGAAAUAAAAUAACAAAGACACCAAAUAUUAAUUUAAAGUAAUUUAUGCAUUAUAUUUAACUAUCUGAGUUAAAUUUUCUCAGUAAUUAUAUAUUUUAGAUUUAAAUUCAUUUGAAUGGUGAUCAUUUAAGUUGUUAUGUAUUAUAUACUAAUAUUUAAGAUUUGAGCAACAUGUCAAUCGAUCCAAUGAAUUUAUUAUAAUACUAAAGACUAUUAAUUAUGUAUAAUAUACUAAUAUUUUCUGAUUGAAUAAAAUUAAAAAUAUAAAAUCAAGUAAAGAAUUAAAGUUUCAAGAUAUAUAUAUAUAUAUAUAUAUAUAUAUAUAUAUAUAUAUAUAUAUAUAUAUAUAUAUAUAUAUAUAUAAUUCAAAUAAAUACAUAUAAAAAUAUAAAUAAUUUAAAUUUUUUAAUAUAUUACUUUUUUAAAUUUAAAAAUACAAGUGAAUGAUAUUCGAAAUAAGAAAAAAGAGAUCAUAAUACAAAAAAUAUAAAAGAGAUUAAACAUAAAGUUUGAGGGAAAAUAAAUUAUAAUACAAAACGUUUUAAACAAUUAAAAAUAAAAUUAAAAUAAUUUAUAUUUACUUAUUUAAACCUGCACCUACUUAAUCAAGAUUCAAAAAUAUACGAGAUGAGAUAAGUUAAUCUAGGUUAUUCGGCAUUGAAAAAAUUAAUGGAUACUGUAUUUCAAUAAUUUAGUAAAAAAAAUAUAAUUGACAUAAUAUACUAAUUUUAAUAUUAUAUAUAAUUAUAAAGAGAAAUCACAUGAGAAUGAUCAUUUUAAUUGUCAUUAGGUUACAUAAGAAUGAGAAUGAUCAAUUUUAAUUGUCAUUAGGUUAAAAUAAAAGUUUAAAAUUAAAAUAUUUUAAAUUUAAAUUAAUUUUUUAAUAAUAAAAUCUCUAAUCAUGAUUGUUGUCAUCAUUAUUUUUACCAUCAUCAUCUCUAUUGUAAUCAUCAUCAUGAUCAUUCUACUAACAUGAUUUUAGUUGUUAGUAUCGCCACCAUAUGAGGUGACAACAACAUCAAUAAAGAUUAUAUUGGUGACAACAAUAAUUAUUAGGUCGUAAUAACAUAAGAUUAUUCUCAUAUAAAACUACAAUUAAGACAUGUUUAUAAUAUAUAAUUCAUAAAAAUAUCAAUAUUAUAUCAUAUUAUGUAAAAAAAACUAUUAUUUAUUAACACAAAAAUAUCUUGUUAUUAAUACAUAAUUACUAAAAAAUGUAAAUUUAAAAAGAGUGUAACACUAAUAUAAACCUAAUCUUUCUAUAUCAAAUCUGAUUUCCAAAAGUCGAACAAGUUAAAAUUAGUUUGUAAUCAAGCUACAGUAAACUAAUGAAGACGACUAACAUUGACAAGAACUCUGGUCGGGCAAUAUUCUGCAUCAUUGUAAUCUUCACAUCCUUUACUUUUUUUCAAUAUUCUCAAAAUACCUCUUUUCACACCUCAACUAUUUUUUUUAUCGAAUUUAUAGAAAUUAGUUUCCGUAAUAUAAAUCUUUUAUAAAUUAUGAAAACUAAUUUUCGUAAUAUAAAAAUCAAUAUUAUGAAAAUUAGUUCUUUAAAAGAGUAUUUUUGUCACAGAAAAUAGAAAAGAAAAAAAUAGAGGACAAGACAAAAAGGUGAGUAUGAAUAGCAUGACCUUGCUAUUUUGAACUUGAUAUGCAAACAAAUCCGUCUGAUCCAAAUUGGACACCGGCAUUGCUACGUGCACCCACACCCAGCAAUUUCAUGAUUUUUUCAUUUUAUCCUUCGAUAAAAGGGAUACAGAUUAGCUAAUCCAUACGACUCAUAUGGAUUAGCUAAUCCGUAAGAAGCAGGAGUCGAAGAAACUUUCAGAUUAUUAGUACAACACUCUAACCAACUGAACUAAUAGAUCAAUUAUGUUAUAAAAUAAAAAAUAUUGUUAUAUAUAACACAAAAAUUUUUAAUGUAUAUCUAAUGCGCAUGUAAAUUUAAAUAAUAAAUUUUGUGACAAUUAAUUUUGAUAUAACUCAUACAGAUUAUCUAAUCCGUAUAUUUUUUUAUAAAUAAAAAAUAUUUACUAUUAAAAAAAUAAUUUAUUAAUAAAUUAAAAAAAACAUACAGAUUCGUAUGAGUUAUAUGAAAAUUAAUUGUCACAAAAUUUAUUAUUUAAAUUUACAUGCACAUUAAAUAUAUAUUAAAAAAUUUAGUGUUAUAUAUAACAAUAUUAUUUAUUUUAUAACAUAAUUGAUCUAUUAGCUCACUUGGUUAGAUCGUUGUGCUAAUAACAUGAAAGUCACAGGUUUGACUCUUAUUUGAGCUAUUAAUUUUAAAUUAAUUCAUAAAAUAUAUAUUUUUUUUAAAAUAAAAAAAAAACACUUAUGGAUUGGACUCAUACGGAUCAGCUAAUCCAUAUGAGGCUUAUGGAUUAGCUGAUCGUAUGAGGUUUAUGGAUUAGUUGAUCCAUAUCCCUUUUAUGAAAGGGUAAAGUGGGAAAAUCAUAAAAUUAUUGGGUGUAUCAGUAAUUUCUCUGGGUGCACGUAACAAUACCCAUUGGACACCGGUGAGUCCAAGCCCGUCUCAGCGUCUCAACAGUGUAAGUGAUUCCAUUCAAGGGAUUAACCUGGAGCACGUAUGGGCCUAGAAGAAAAAUCAGAGGUUUUAGAUAUUUACACCGCCCCCCCUUUAUUAUUUAUUCAAAUAUACUUUAUAUGAAAUAAUAUAAACCUACUUUUACACCCCUAUCAUCAUUAUUCUUUAAAUAUUAUUUUUACACCUCAUCACCAUCAUUAAAUUCUGUUUCUGCACCCAUUUUUGUCAUUUUUAAACUUUCCCCAUCUUUCUUAUUAUUUAAAUCUUUUAAAGGAUGUCUAAAUGAGUUGGUUGAAUAGAAUGCAUGAGUUGAUAUAAACUAUUUAAUGUUUGUCUUUAAUUCUUACAAAUUAAUAAAAAAAAGCCUUUCACAUAUCUUUUUCUCUUUUUUCUUAUAAAAAUAAUAAAAUUUUAGCAUAGUUCUAUUCCCUACAUUAAAUACAUGUUAUGAAUAAUACAUGAUUUGAAUGACUGUGUUAAAAUACAUUUUCCAUUAGUGAUAAUUUGCAAUUUGCAAAAUUAAUAGGGUAUCAUAAAUUGUGAUUUAGCUAUCAUAAAUUAACAUGAUAUGAAUAACUGUGUUUUCAAGGAAUCCUUAUUUUCUUCAAUGUGGCGGUUAUUUCAUUUUAUCUGCCUACCAUUCAACUUUCUCCCAAAAUAAAAAGGUAUUGUACCAUUCAACUUAUGAUAUUUUUAAUGUUAUUUGAGCCUGAUUCAACUUACUAUUAUUAUUUGCUUCAUAGGUAAUUACUAUUAAUAUGCAGCCAAGCACCCCCAAAACCACCAGCACCAUUAUUACUGAAAACCACAAUUACAUACUAUUAUUAUAGUGAACUCCAGCAUCAUCAUAAGGUUAAGAUUAUUCAAAAUUUUCUGUCAAAAAAAAAGAUUAUUCAAAAUUUUCAAUUCCUAGCCUUAUUUUGUGUCAAAAGCUUUGGACACAGGAUACUUUUGAAGUGUAGGCUCCGCUCAACAACUUGCACAAGUGUUUUCCUAGUUACAAUCAGUCCAAAAAUCACCUCCCAUGAAACAUAUUGGCCCUCCUACGCUUUAAGGACACACAUCCAGGGUGUUGAUAGGAUGAGUUGUGGUGAUUUAUCUUUGUCAUUAUUCAGCUUAAAAUUUUCAUAUUCAUUGUUAGCAUAAAUUCGUACACCUACUUGAUCUAAGAAUUGUUAUAUAUGUGGAGAUCCAUAUAUCACAAACACCCUACUAGUUGACACCCUUGUUUUUUUUAAUCUUUUUUUAUCAAAUCAUAUCAUAUCUAUACUUCUCUAAAUUUUUUUCUUUUUCUCUUUCAAUGUGUCACAUGGCAUAUGAGUGUUACGUAUCUUUAUUCUUGAUCUAAUUAAGAUUCUAUAAUAUAUCUAGGAUGAGAUUGAGAUGACCUGAGUUGUUGAUUCGAUCUUUACAAAUGAAUCACAAAAAUAAUCAGCCAACACGUUUGGUUUUAAAAAACAUGUCAGUAAACAGAUAAAUUAUAAUCAACGUCCAAGAUGAUCUUAGUUUGCAGUCUCGUCUUCAAAGGAUUUUAUUAGCCUUAUCAACUAAAUUAAUAGCCUUUUUUCACUCUUUCACUUUUUCCCGACCGUGAUUUUUGUUUUUUCUCUCAUUUUAUUGGUGCCAAAGUAGUUUUUAAUGGAAUCAAUGAAAAGUGCUGUCAUACUUAAUAGCAUUACUCUGACACGUACUGUAUAUAAUUCAGCAAUAUAUUACGAACACUAUUUUAAAAUAAUUUGUGCUAAUUCAACUUUCUUUAAUUCACGAUCAAGUUAAAAAUUUAAUCGCAUCAAUGAUCUAUAUAGUAGUAUAUCAACAAGAGAGAGAAAAGCCUAUUAUGGCUCAAGGUGGCAACACAUCUUGUAUGUGGAGAGAAUUUAGAUUUCAUUUUCACAGAACACAUAUUUGAAAAGGAACAAUAUGCUUUAAGUGUUUAGUCCUAGACAUAUGAUUAGUAACCCAAAGGAUAUCUUGAUGAGAGAGAGAGAGAUGCCUAUUUGUGUGAGAGAGAAAAUGGCUACAAACUUUCACUAACACAUUUGCUAUUACAUUGGUUACCACAAUCUCUAUUCUAACACCACAACAUCAUUUUUAUUUUAUUUUUUAUAACAUUGUUAUGAGAAGAAAGAAAAAUUCAUUGCAAUCCAGUGUGACAAACAUAAGCUCACACAAGACCCAUUUUAUUCCUACAGCAAUCUUAUUAGAGAGAAACCCUUUGUGCAAGGGCACUGCUCAGAGAGAAUAAAGAUGGUGUGGAAGCCUAGGCUCAACAACAGUUUCCAGUGGUAUUUUCUUAGGUGUAGAGAGCCCAAAAAUCUCAUCCAUAUUCAAAUCCUCAUUCUUGACAUUAUCAGGCAGUCUCCAGUUAAAUCCAUGCAACAAAUUGGCCAAACUUGCUUGAAUGACCUUAAGGCCAAGAGGGUAGCCAGGGCACAUCCUUCUCCCAGCACCAAAUGGCAAUAGCUCAUAGUCAUGUCCUUUAACAUCAAUCUCCUUAGUAAGAAACCUCUCUGGUUGGAACUCUGUAGGGUUGUCCCAAAUUGAAGGGUCUCUCCCAAUAGUCCACACAUUCACAAGCACUUGUGUCCCUUUGGGGAUGUCAUACCCUCCAACUUGGCAAUCCUCUCUGGCUAGUCUUGGCACCAACAUUGGUGCCACAGGGUGCAGCCUCAUUGCUUCCUUUGCAAUGGCAUUCACAUAAGGCAAAUUUACAAUGUCCUUCUCUUCAACCCAUCUUUCUCUACCUAUUACCCUGUCUAGCUCCUCUGUUGCCUUCUUGAAAAUCUCUGGCCUUCUCAAUAGCUCUGUGAUUGCCCAUUCCACUGUUACUGCUGAACUCUCAGUCCCACCUGCUAUUAGAUCCUGAUUAAUAAUUGACACAAUUGUGAAGUGGGUCAGAAAAUGUUAAUAAUUAAUCUGCCAAAUCUGAAAAUAUGAAAUGUGUAGUCCUACACUUCAUAAUUAAAUUCAUAUUCAGAUAUCAGGUAAUCCUACUCAACCUGAGCCAAUAAAAUGGCUAAUUAAAAUAUAUCUGGCUAAUGGGUACAGAAAGAUGCUACAGGAGUUCAAAAUAUAUGGAAAUAAGAGAGGUAGAGUAAACAUGACCGACCAUGUUGUAUCUUGUGCAUCGAUUGGACGAUCGGCUAAACAAAGUUACUAUUACCUUUUAAACAUAUUUUUUUAUUAACUUAUUCUACAAAAAAACUUAACAUGUUCUUUAAAAAAAAAAAAGACAGACUUGUCUGCCACUUUAUUAAAAGAAUCUUUUUAAAGAAAAAACAAGAGAAUGAGUUACUUAGACGAAGUAGUUGAUAUUUUAAAAAGCUUUAUUGGGUGAGUAGAAAAAAGAAAUAUAAAACCACGGAAAGUGUUUUAAUAUUUGGUGGCCUAUCACAUUAUCUACAAAAUAAAUGUAUUAGCUAGCUGACAAAAUAUAUUUUAGUAAUCACACAUGUUGAAUAGUAAACUAAUAAUUUAAAAUAACACUAAAAAAAUGAAAAACGAUUGGUACCUGUGUAAAAGCCUUGACUCCAUGCCUCUCAAGCUUGACCUCAAGAGUAGGAUCCUCGGCAAGUUGCAAAAGAACAUCAACCAUGUCCUUCGCCACGUAAUCCUCAACCCCUUUCUUCCUCUCAAUAUGUUCAUCCAAGACGUGCUCCAUGAACAUAUCAAACUUCUUGCUCAAAGCCUUCAUCCUCUUUAUGUAACCCUGCAGGUCCAAGAAAUCCAUCCAAGGAAUAAAGUCCCCGAUGUUAUACACCCCAUUAAGCAAAAACAACUCAUCAAGCAUCUUCUUGAAAUCAUCGGGCGAAACGACGGCGUUUUCGGAUUCCUCAAGGUACUUUUUUCCCAACACCAUGCGGCUUAUAACGUUGAGGCUAAGGUUGGAAAGGUGGUCUUUUAGUAAAAUUGUUUUGUUUGCGGAAUUGAAGAGUUCGUUAAGAAGGCCACGAAGCUCUUGUUUUCUAAUGUAUUCGUAUUCUUCUAAGCGUUUAGCACUGAAUAAUUCCAUCAGGCACAUUCUACGGGCCUGGCGCCAGUAUGGGCCGUACUGGGACCAAGUGAUGUCCGAGUAGUUGUAGGUUGUGUAUUUGCCCGCCGCGAAUUUGGGCCUGCCGGCGAGGGUGGCAUCGUGGGUUUUGAGGAUGGCCUUCGCCAUGUCCACGGAUGAGCCCACCACGACGGGGUUCGACCCGAACCACACGUGCAUGAUGGGCCCGUAUGUUUUACUCAGCGCGUGAAUCGACUGGUGUGGGAGGGAGCCGAUUAAGUUUAGGUUGCCUAUGAUGGGCCAGGGCUUGGGGCCUGGGGGGAGAUUGUAUUUACGGCGGCGGAGACCGCGGAGGAGGAAGAGGAGGAGGGCGGCCAAGGCUGCCAAACAUGCGGCUGCGGUUGGAACCCAAUUGGGAGAUGCCAAUUCUAUUGCCAUCUUCGAGAUUGGCAAGUUUGAAGUGAAGAAGAAAGCAAGGCUUGUGUCGUGAUGAUGAAUCAUUGCUUUGCUGAGUGGCUUAUUUAUGUAGAAAAUAUGGCAAUGGCAAACAAGUAAUACUUUAACUUAUGGCCCUACUUGGGCUUCUUUCUACAACAUUUCGUGAACCAUGCAUAUAAAUUUCAGUGGCUAUCUUUGUGAUUUUUUCUUUUCUUUUUCCACUUCUGUCUUGUUAGAGAAAAAUUUUAAUUUUCACUUUCCUUUUAAAAGUCUAACACUCUAAUUUUUACUGUGUUCUUAUUUAUUAUCCUCUUUAGUUUUUUUAUUUACAAAAUUUAUUUAAAUUUGGAAAUACGUGUAAAAUAUAUGAAAUAUUUAUUAGUUGUUUACUCAAAAUAACAAACAAAAGCACAUGAACUACAUCAAAACAAGUACGAGUAUUCCAUAAAAGUCAGUACGUAUUAUAAUAACUUGAUGUUCACUCUCUUAUUUGUUCGUCAACUUCCUUGUAAGUAAUUAUAAUAUUUUUGUUGUUACCUUCAACUAAAUAUAUUUUUUUAUUAAAUUUUAAUUGAUCAGUGUAUUAAUUAAUGGCCAAUGGGUGAGUAUAUGUCGGCACUCCAUUUGUUGAUCUACAAUUGUUAUUCCUUCAAAAAAAAUGUACUUGUUAUUAAUAAAUUCAAAUUAUAAUUUCUUUAGUUAAUCUUAUUUCAAUGAUUUUUUUUAAAGAAGUUUAAUUAAAUGUGUUGUAUCAGUUACUUUAGAGGAAUUGCACCAAUUACUCACACCUUUACUUUUGUCUUUCUUUUAAGGGGCAUUUGUAACAAGGAAAAUUAAUUUUAUUAACAUUCAAAUAAAUCAUAUCAUUUAAAAAUUAAUUUUAACCAAAAUUAAUUUUAUUUAAAAAUAUUUUUUUUGGAAAACCCAAGGAUAACAUUGAUGAUUUAGAGAGACUUAUUGAAUUAGAAUUUCAAAAGAUUUUUUUUAUAAAAAAAUCUAUUGAUAUUCAAUCAAUAUUUUUAAAUUGUAUAAAUAAGUCUUGUGGUAUUUAAUUAAGGCUUUCAAGAUUUUUUUAAUGAGGGUAACAAAAUUCGAUUGUAUCCGAUUAAGAUUUUUUAUAACCUAUAAAAAGUAUUUUGUUAUUCAAAAAUGAAAAAAAAAAUGGUUAUACACUCACAAUGUAAAGAGUUUUACAUAGUCAUUUAAUCACAAUCCAUCAUAUAUGAUAAGUUUGUUGACUUUUAAAUUAAUUAUCUUAAAGUAAUUCAAACGAUGAUUUGUAAUUGGAUGACAACGUAAAAUUGUUUUACACUGUCAGUGCAUAGACACAAACUUUUCCAAAAUAUACAAAUUUUGAUGAAUUAUUUUUUAAGAAGAAUUUCGAUAGAUUUCAUUAGCCUUUUUACCAUAAAAUAUCUAUCAAAUAAUCUCACUCAAACCCUUGAAAUUUUACUAGACUCUUUUCUUUCUUUUUUUAUUGGUUUCUAUACUUUCUUUUCUCUCAUCACACAUAUCCACUUCUCUCUUUAAUAUUCUUCAAGAUGUGUGUGUCAUAUAUGUUUUUCCUAUUAUUUUAUAAUAAAAAAGUCAGAUAUACUCCCCCCCUCUACACUUUUUUGUUUGUUUUCUAAAUUAAUGUUUGUCUUAUGUGCUAAGGUUAACCAUAUUUUUCUUAUACUGAUCGUGUGCAUCAUUUGUUUGAUGCAAUGUUUUUAUGACUGUCACCUUUAGUUUCAUUAUCCAUAUAACUCAAUAACUCUUACAAAUUUUUCACCCUCACCACUAAUUUCUAUCCCAUUUAAACAUGUCAUUGGAUUUAUCAUGAAAUAAUUAUAGUAGCUAAAAAAACAUAAUUUUAAAUUUAUUGUUCAAAUUCAAAAGAGAGAAUAAAAAAAUGUUAUUGUAAGAAGGGCUAGUAUAGGAGGAUAUAAAGUUAUAAUCAAUUUAGCUAUUAAAAUAUUAGGCUAAAAUGCAAUUUUUGUUUCCUUAUUUUUUCAAACCUAAGCUUUUAUUUCCCCCAUUUUUAAUUGAGACAUUUCAUUCCUCACUUUUAAAAAGUUUGCAAUUUUAGACCUCUAUUUUUUAAUUGAGACAUUUCGUCCCCCACUUUUAAAAAAUCAGUAAUUUUAGUUCUUAUGGUUGAUAAUUGUUAUGUAUGCAUAAUUUGAAUAUUUAAAUCACACAAUAAUUACCUGAUUUUUCUCUCUUUUAUCAUUUAUUUUUGUGUUUAAACAUUAGGAAUUCAACAUCUUCUAAGUUUUUAUCUAGUAGAUGCUAAAACUAGUAAUUUUAUAAUAUUUUUUGUGGUAUACUUUUUGUAGAGACAUAACAGAAGGCAUGAAAGAGAAUUGAAAAACUAGAGAGUCGCGCUCAGUGCAUUAACCUCGCUCAACGCACCAGCCUCGCUUAACGCAUGAAGACCGCUUAGCACGACAGGCUCGCUUAACGUUAGAAGUCACAUGGGAAGCCAGUUGUCACAUGCAUGCACGCUUAGUACAUGGUGAGCGAUUAGUGCGUGGUCAUUUAUCCAAGUGGAUUUUUUUCAACGUGCAGUCUCACUCAGCACACAAUCAAUGUCGAAAAACAUGAUUGUGUUGCAUUUUAAGAGAAAAAAGGAGGGAAUAGGGGCGUGAUUGAUUCUAUUGAGCAGCAGGAGCUAGGGCACGACCAUUGGAGAGAGACCCAUUCAUUUGGAGCAUUUCUUCUCCAUUUUCCUCCAUUCUCUUCCACUUCGUUCACCCCUUUUUGUAUCUGUAAGUCUCUCAUGACAAUGAGAGACUAAACUACCCAUUGUUAGGAGCUCAUAAACCAAAGAGUCUUGAUGUAAUGAUUCUAACUAUCUAUUUAAUGUUAUUUCAAUAUUAUUGUCUCUUUUUUGUGCUUAUUAUCAUGUUUGUGACUUGAUCACCCUUGCUCAUGUAAUGUUAGAAGAUUUAGGCAUUGGAAAAAUUUAUUUCUUAAGAACUAGAAAACAAACAUCUAAGUAAUCUAUCUCUAGGGACAAAAUGGUGUUAUUUAGUUUAAAUUAUGCAUCUCUGUUCAUAAUACAAUUUGUUUGAUUUGCCUCUUAAGGGAUUAUGAGAGAAAUUAGGUAUGUUAGAUUUUUUCAUGUGAGGAAUCAUGACUAUAGUAUGUAUUAUGUAAGUGGAUGUAGGUAAUAGCUGAAAAAAUAUUGGAUAGAGAAAAAUCAUUAAUUUUACAUUAAGAGUAGUUCUAAUAGACUGAGUCCCAACAUGCCUGUACUUAUGCAUCGACUGUCACUUCAGUGCUCUCUAUAGUUUAAUUUUAUGUUGAAUUUACAUUUAUGCGUCACUAUGUUACAAAUAUCCAAUUCAAUUCAUUAAUUGUUUAAAGUUCAUUUAUGCUCUAUAUAUAUAUAUAAACCCUGAGUAUAGUCAAAGUUCAUGUAAACUCGAUACUUGAUUUUACCGUUUUAAAAUAUUACUUGAACGAAUUGGUACACUUGACAAGGAGUUAACAAUGAUCAAUUUCAAACGUUGAUUUAUGUACUAUGUAAAUGUUGACUAACAACCAUUUGUUUAUUAUGCAGAUGACAAGUAUUUUUUUUUAAAUUAUUUAAUUACUAACAAACUUAAUUUAUUAAAAAAAUAAUUAAAAAAAUACAUAGUCAACAAGUCUGAAAUUGACCAAGAAGACAAAAAUUGUAGAUUUUUAAAAGUGGGAGACAAAAUAUAUCAAUUAAAAAAUAGGAGGACUAAAAUCCAUAAUUUUUUAAAAGUGGAGGACAAAAUAUCUCAAUUAAAAAAUAGGAAGACUAAAAUCACAUAUUUGAGAAAUUAGGGGAAUGAAAAUUUUAUUUUAGCCAAAAGCUUAAAAAAACUAUAUUGAUUUUUACUUUUUUUCUUUAUCCAAACCUCAUCAUUUCUUAUUAUUUUCUUCACUAACUCUUGUAAUUUUGAAUGUAUUUUUAAAAAUUAACAGAAUCCUUUCAUAUAUUAUAAAUCUAUAAAGUUCUUUUAAAUCCUUUAAAUUCUUAUGAUAUAAAUCCAUUAAAAUUUAAACUAUCAUAAUAGUCUUUGUAAAGAAAUAUGAUAAGUUAUAAUAUUUAGGCUAAAAUAUGUUUUCCGUCUCUAUAAAUAUAAAAAAGUUUAGAAUCUAUCUCUCUAAAAUUUUCAGUAAGUUUUUUUGUUCUCAUAAAAUUGAAAUGUAUUAUUUUUUGACUUAGAGGCAGGCUUGGACAAAAUCGAGCAAACAUGACAUUUUUUAAAAAUUAAAUUGUAGGCUAAAACAUGAUUUUAUUUCCUAUAAAUAUUGAAAUAUUCGAAAUCCAUCUCUGCAAAAUUUUGAGUCUUUUUUUUGUUCUUGAAAAAUUGAGAUCGGUUACUUUUUGGCUCAAAUGUAGGUUCAAAUAUCUAACCUUAUGUAUCAUUCUUUCAUUUGUUUCAUUGAUAACUAUGAGAGUAAGUGAUUUAUGAGGGUUAAAAAUCGCCAAAAAAUGUAAAAAAAUAAUAUUUCAAAUUUGUAAAUCCCUCCUUCUUAACCUUUUUCCUUUCCAUCUUUCUUUAUCUUCUUCAAAUUUAAAUAUAUUUUUUUCUUUUUUAAAUGUUCUAUUCAACUGCAAUGGUCAACACCACCUUAUUGACUCUGUCAUCUUCUUAUUCUUCUUCUGUGAAUUCUCCUUCUUUCCGAAAACAAAAAACCUAAAACCUUCACUUCCAAAUUUGACUUUAUGAAUAUCAUUUUCAAUGUUCUAUCAUAAUCAAAUGUCGUCGACUAACUCAAUAACCUAGCUUCCGAAUUCACCAAUCUCUCAGAUUAUCCUGGUGGAUGGAGAAGAUGAAGAAAGUUAAGAAAGAAAGAGGUUGGGAAAAAGGGAUUCAUAAUUUUUGGGGUUUUUUUUCCCUGUAUUUUGUGAUAGUUUUGAAUUCCCAAAAAUUACCCAUUCCUAUAACUAUCAUGGAAAUUAAUGAAAGAGUGACACGUAAGUUCGAAUACAUUAACCUACGUUCAGGUCAAAAAGUAAUAGAUUUCAAUUUUUUUGAGGAAAAAAAGACUAAAAAUUUUGGAGGACGAAUUUCGAACAUUUUGAUAUUUAUAGGGACGAAAAACAUAUUUUAACUUAUAAUUUAACUUUUUAAAAAUGUCAUGUAGGCUCAGAUUCGUCAAAGUUUGACUCCGAACAAAAAAAUAACACAUUUCAAUUUUUCGAAAACGAAAAACAUACUAAAAAAUUUGUAAAGAUGAAUUAUGAACUUUUUGAUAUUUAUAGGAAUGAAAAACAUAUUUUAAUAUAAUAUUUAUACAUAAUCUUGAAAUUUCACAAAACUAUUUUAUAUUAAAAUAAUCUUUUAAAAUCCUAAUCCAAUUCACCCCUUAAUUUAUUAAUAAGGUUACAUCUUGCAAUUGGUCACAACUAAAAAAUAACUAGUAUAAUUUAAAAGCGGUAACAUUUGAGGAAAAAAAAUUUAUACAUUGAAGAUUAGGGUGAGGGAUCUUUGGACUCAAAUAAGAGAUAAAAAAAAUAAAAAUAAGAGAUCAAAUAAAUAACUUUAUACGUAAGUUUUUUCUUGUUUCACUCCAUCAAUCUUUUGGGUACUUACAUUUAUUAAUAUUUAUUUUAUUUUAUGAAACAUGCUAAUUAAAAAAUAUUUAUUUAUUAAAAUUUUCAAUUCUCUUUCCCAGUAAUUUUUAAUGAAAACAUUUUACUUAUUAAUUUGUUAACACUUGUGUUUUUAGACUACUCGUUAACAAAAUUCUUAUUUAUUUAGUUGAAUUCAAACAGUUAUCAAUUUAACGGAGGUUGUAAGAAUGAAAAUUUAUAUGUAUGUAAAUUUAAUAGUAUAAUAUGUGGAAUGGUUUUAUGAUUCAAUCAGUUUACAAGGACGUUCUUGGAAAAGCGAUAAAAGUAUGGUUGUUAAACAAACACCAUUAUUGACUGACUUGACACCUUUGCCUUUUACAAAAGCAAUAAUGGAUAUAAUUGAGUAUUUCUUAAAGAAUAUUAUUAUAUUACUGAAAAAAAUAUAUUAUUGUGGGUAGUUGCCAACUAUCCAUAGUCCAUAGCAGUGUUUCUGUGAAAUUUCAUAAUUGACUUGAAUAGCAAUCUUAUUAAGUCAAUGUCGACAGUCAACGAAAUUGGUUCCAUGGUAUGUGUUAGCACAUUUCUAGUAAAUAGAGCGUAAGUAUUAUGCUACCUUCAUUUUUUUUCUUAAAAUAAAUAUCAUCCUAAGUGUUAUACUAACUGGUUGACACUUGACACAAACAAACAAAAAAUUAAUAGAUAAAUAAAAUAAUAAUUUAUAAAUUUAAUCUUAUUAAAUAGAUGAAAGAUUAUAAUAUUAGUAUCAUUAAAAACUAAAGUAAAACUUAUUAGAAAUAUUACUAACAAAAAUAAUUAAUAUUACAUUAAAAAAAUCAACAUAAUACUUAUUUUAAGAUAAUUUUUUAAAUAUGACAUUUAUUUUUAAAUGAAAUCAAUAUUUUUUUCUUCCUUCUUAAAAGUAUAAUUUUUUAAUCUAGUGAACUUAUUACCACUAAAAAUAUUCUUCAAAAGAUUCUGAAAUAAAUUUUUAAAUAUAUAUUUUUUAAAAUUUAUAUCACUUUAAAGUUAUCAAACUAUCUUUAUUUUAAAAACUUAUAUCUUAAUUAACAAGUUAAUUCCUUUUGGCGUACCUAUGUUCACCAAAAUUCCAUUUGUUUGAAAGAAAAAAAAAAGAAGCCGAAAAGUUUUUUAAAUUUAAAUUAAACAGAAAUGAAUAAAGCUUGAAUUUUUAUUUCAAAGUCAGCAUUUUUGUUUAUUCUUCCUUUAAUCAAAUAAAAUGAAAUAUACUUAUAUUUCAUUUAAUUUCAUUUUUAUAUUUCUUCCUUUUCAAGAUGUAGAUGUAGUGUCCAAAGUUUUUAUUUUCUUGUGUGCGCUAAUUAAGGAUAAAAAAAAAAUAUAUACAUCAUAAAAUAAUUUUAUACAAUCAUUCAAUAAUAAAUCAUUAUGAUAUAUUUAUUAAUUUUUAUAAUAAUUAUCUUAAGUUAUAAAAAUAAUGAUUAGAGAUAAAAUGACGCCAUAAAAUUAUUAUUUUACACCGUCAAUAUAUCCCUAUUAAAUUCUUAAUUAAAUGAAUUCUUCUUCUAUCUUAUUAUGUUUUUAUUUUAUUAUUAUAACUAGUGAAACAAAUUGUAUAUUAUUUUAAUUUUUAAAUGUAUUUCUCUAUCACUUUUAAUUUUACAAAAAUAUGUUAAUUACCAGUAAAACUUUUCUAAGUUUUGGUUGUGGAACCCUUGAUACCAACAAUCCUAGGACAAUCGCUACAGAAAAAACAAUCGUCAUAGUUUUAUGGUCAAUUAAGAACGGCUUCUACGGUGAAAAUAUUGACAAAUGGUUCACUGAAAGUGAAAAAAAUAUUAAAUGAUAUAUAAAAGAGUUACUAUUUGUUAUCUGUUUUAGUAUACAUUUAACCUGAAAGAUGUAAAUUACAUGGAUGACCAUAUAAGUAAAAUAUUAAAUGAUUGCAACGCUCUCAGAUUUAAAAGAAAUAAAAAAAAUAUUUUGUGGACAAUUGAAAAAGGGUAUAUCUGCGUUGUAAUUCUCCUGCUGAUAGUUGUUCACCUUCAAUUCAGUCUUUAUGACUGGAAAGAGCACUUUGCACAAAUGUGUGAGUGCGUUGCUGGAAGUAGCAUAGAAAGAGUGGUUGCACACGUUGCAGGAAGUUCUUCAUCAUAUUCAUUUUAUUAUAUAUAUAAAAUUAAAUUUGUUAAUAUUUUUACGAAGUGUUCCCAUAUUUUGUACUUUUCAUAAUUACCAAGUAAAUCCCAAUCUAAAUAGAAAUGUUAUCCUUUUUCAAACAUACAAAUAUAUAAUUUUCUGCAAAUUAACAUAUUUAUUUUUAAAUUAACUUCAUUUUAUAUUGAUAUUCUUAAUACACUAAUGACAUACAAUAUAAUUAUAAAUCCUUGUUGAAAAUUUGAACAACAGAGUUUGACAAAAAUGGGGAAUUAUACGGCAAAAUCUGCAUAUAUUCAAGAUAAUGUGAGGGAGAUAAUUUCAAAUUAACAUAAAUCGUAAUUUCAAAUUCGUGAAUCAUAAAUCCGUAACAUGUGAGGGAGAUAAUGUCUUGCAUGCUAAUUUUUAUUCAUGUUGGUUAAGUUUUUAGGAAAAAAAUGUAUAGUUUUUUCUUUCUUUUUAAUCUUGACAAGUUGACCUGAGCAUAUAAUAAAUAAAAAAUCAAAAUACUAAAAAGAAAAUAGCAUUUGCGUGUUAUUCAAUCGAAAGACGUGAUGCAUAGAUCAAAUAUGUAGGUACGAUAUAUAUGUUGUUGACUACCAUUUCAAUAAAAAAGCUUAUAAACAUAAGAUAAUGAAAGCGCAUAGAUCCUUCAAAGUUAAGAUAUUGGAAGGUGCCUUGUUAUCUCUUUCUUUUGUGGUCUUGUUUGAGUUCGACGAGGCCGAUGCAAAAAGAACGCAUGUGAGAACACGUGUGUCACCGGUGCAGAAGGUUGCAUUGAUUACUGUGAUAGGCUGCACGGCGACGAUGGAUUUGCCGUUGUGGGAUAAAAACUUGUCUAAUAUCCCCAAUUUCCAGUAGAUAUUUUGUCAAACUAAUAAAUAGGAUGAUAUAGUAAAAUGAUCAAAUUCCUGUUAAAUAUGUUAAAAUAAUUUUAUACUUGAUAGAGCAUCUGGGUGAAUUCUUUAUUUUAUUUCUCAUCUGAUCUCAAAAUGUUGGUAUAACUAUUUAUUUAAAUUUAAAUUUGACUUAGUAAGAGUGCAAUUGUGCAAAAAUAUCAGAAAUGAGACCAGGUUAAUCUAAUUUAUAACAAUAGUAUAUCAGUAUUAAUAUUGUGUACGUAUAAGUAAAUGAUAAAUUAAAAAAUAAAUAAAACUAACAUUAAGAUAUAUUUUACAAUAUAUGUUUUAAAAGAAACCAUAUAAUAUAUGCAUCACUGGAAAUACUUUUGUAUGAUAAAUUAUUGUUUUUUUUUUUUACUGAAAUGGAUAUUUUUGUUAAUUAAACAUCAUUCGUCUUCAAAAUAUUCACACAUGUGAUGUCAGAAUAGGUGACUUCACCUGAUUCUUAUUUAAUAAUAUUUUCUUAAAUAUUAUUAUAAAAUUAUAAUUUUAUCUAUUUUAUUUUAAAAUUAUUUUUUAGUUUUGUUGAAAAAAUGGUUUUAAUUAAAAAUUUAAUAGGUAAAAUUAUAGUUUUCUAAUAAAAUAUUUAAUAGAAAUAUCAUUAAAUAAAAAUUGAAUGAAAUCAUACAUGAUGGCAUCACCAAGUGAGAAAAACUGCAUUGUCUUAGAGAAGUAUGUCUGACUAGGUGAAACUAUUUAAAAUGGCAUCACCAAAUUACUCAAUCACCUAAAUCUAGUGAUACUUUACUAAUAGUACCACCUAAAUGGAGAGGAGUUGAUUGUUGCCAUUAAAAUUCCAUGUGGCUUGAAUUACUCACUUUAAUAAAUAUAUUGGAGACCAACCCAAAAUGAUAUUUAGUUAGCAAAAAUGAUCCGUUUUGGUCAAUAACCCACCUUGAUUGCAUAGCAAGCUUUUCUCUUGGUUUAUUUCAUUGUGUCAGGGUCGAUUUAAUAAUAAACCAAACCUAAAGUAAAUUUUAAAAGAGUUUUGUUAGUUAAUUAUAUUGGGCCUUUUUACUAACUUGUGUGAUUGUUUUUUUUAUCAAUAUAUGAAGUCUUGUUUACACUAUAAAUCUAAUAACAGAUUUUCUUUUUUUGCUCAUAGGUCUAAAGUGCAAGCUUUAGUUGUUUUCCUUUUGGACCGACCUUCCAUUAAUUUUUUUUAGUACAGACACAUAUAUGUGGAUUAUGGUAUUUAAUGUGUUGUAUUUGGCUUUGACAAGGAGGCUGCUGCUGAAAUCAUGCUGGUGCGUUAUUUUGGUGUUUGGAGAUGGUGAUGCAUUUGGGCUAUUUUGUUACAUAUACUUGCUGUUUCGGAUUGGUAUUGGCACAUUUUAUACUCAAACCAUGUUGUUAUUGAAUAAAAUUAUUAUUUUGCUUUUAAGAAAAUAAGUAUCUUAGUGUACACGUGUUUGAAUAUGUGAUGAAAGAAUUGUGUUUGUAAUCUUAUAAAAUUUAUUAUGAUUAAAAUUGAUUUUGAAGUAACAUCAUUUUUGUUUGAAAAAUGGGUAUUACAAAAGUGUUUUUUUUUAUAAAGAAAAUGUUAGUUGGAUAUUUUUAAUCAAAAUUGAUUGAUUUCGUAAUUUCGAAAAUAGAUUUUAAUUAGGACGGUUUAAUUUAUCUAAUUGAAAAAUCUUUAUUUCAUACUAAAAUAUGCAAUAUUUGCAACAACAAAAAAAAUACUACACAGGUAGUGCAAAAGAAAACUACAAAUUGUGAUAAUAACUUUAUAAACAGUCACACAUCCUCCAACACCACCAAACUCAUUUUCAUAUACACAGUCUAUACAGCCCUAGGUUACCAAUAUAUACUAUAACAACUUAUUAAAUCUAGGUACAAAAUGGGCAUACACUGAGAGUCACUGUCCAUGGUAUGGUAGUAACUAGUAAGCCAACCAUAUAUAUAUAUAUAUAUAUAUAUAUAUAUAUAUAUAUAUAUAUAUAUAUUAAUGUUUAAUUAUCAAAAUGUGGGAGUGACUCCCUUAUUUAUUAGUUUAGUAUAGUUAUGUGGACACACUAUUAGGCACCCCUCUGCAUGUAACACCAGGUUCAGAGCUAGGAGCAAGCAACUCAUAAGGCAACACCCCUGCACCGCAACGGUUCCUUAGAGUCCUAUCAAGGUUCCUGCCAUCAAUC